AGGUGGAUUAUAUUUGAUCGUCUUGCUGGAGGUUGGAAUCCGCUGGUGAGAAAACAGAAGGGAAGUGAACAGAAACCUCUCCUCCGCCUCUUCUUCUUCUUCUUCUUCUUCAUUGCUGUUGUAGUUGUCGUCAUCGAGAGAGAGAGGAAGAGAAUAUGGCUGUUGAUCGGGAGGCACAGUUUCAUGUGCUGGCUGUGGAUGACAGCCUCAUCGACAGGAAGCUCAUCGAGAGGCUCCUCAAGACCUCAUCCUACCAAGGUACUCUCACUGCUUAUACUUACUUGCAUGAAUGGGGAACAGCGGAUUCGGCACCCACUCGAUUCGAGUGUUUCUGAGAGAAAUGUGUUGUUUGCUUCAGUUACCACAGUAGACUCUGGGAGCAAAGCCUUGGAAUUGCUGGGGUUGAGAGAGGACCAGGAUAUCUCAUCGCCUUCCUCACCGGACAAGAACGUAAGUCAAAUCAUCCAUCGAUUUCACAGCAUGGGUUCUUCUCGUUUCUGAUGAAUCGUGAUGGAUGGUAAUCGUGCUUAUAGGAAAUAGCGGUGAAUUUGGUCAUAACAGACUACUGUAUGCCCGGGAUGACAGGGUAUGAUCUGCUCAAGAAGAUCAAGGUAGAACUGAUGGCUGGUCCGAUUUCCAUUCUUCGACUUUUAAUUGCUUUUUUAGCUUGUUUCAAGAUAGUUAUGUGUGUUUGUGUGUGUGUGCUUGGUUUACUUGUUAUAUCAGGGGUCAUCAUCUUUGAAGGACGUUCCAGUUGUGAUCAUGUCCUCUGAGAAUGUGCCUUCCAGGAUCAACAGGUGAGGAAGUGGAUUCCUUACCAUUAAAUUCUUGCAUGAGAUUUUUGGUUUGGUUUCACUCGGCAUAAAUGGAGCACCUUUACAGUCUUGCAACUUUAAGAAAAGGUGAAGUAGGAAGGACAAUAAAAGAAUCCCAAGAUGCUGUUGGUUUCUCUUCCAGCUUUCUUAAGUUUACAGUGACCAAGAUAUGAACUUUGUUCCAGAGGCUGAUACCUCAAGAGCUGUAUCCAAUUUGUUUCCUUUUAGGAAUCCCACAAACAAACACAAAGCCACUAAUUUAUGCAGCUAAGAAGUCCCAAGAAAGAGAUCCAGCUCAAAAUUCUUCUUCUUCUUCUUCUUCUUCAAUUCACUUGCUUUUCAUCAAAAGAGGAGAGAAAAAAAAAAAAAUAAUAAUAAUAAUAAAGGCAAGCAGUAAAUUAGAUCUUCCCUGGUUCACACAGUAUCUCAUAUCUUGCCCAUCACUGGGGGUAACGAGCGAGGAUGGGGGGAAACAUCCAAACCAGCAAGUGGUCCUCGAGGCAUGUUUGUUUUCCCAACUUUGGUUCAUAAAAGUUGGGUCGGAGUCAUCUGUGCGGUGGUCAUAGCUUGGGUGGAAUCAGGAUAAAGCCACCCCUAUACGCCAAUAAAGUCAAACAUCCAAAAUCUUUUCCAUGUUGAUGUUAGAUUUGCUCAAUAUUCUGAAGUUGAUGUGAUGAGAGAAAAAAGGAUAGAAAGUCCCACCUUAGACUCCUUUCUUCUCACCUACAUCUGACAUGUAAAUGCUUUGAUGUGUCCUGAUGACAGAUGCUUGGAAGGAGGAGCUGAGGAGUUCUUCCUCAAGCCAAUACAGCUUUCAGACCUCAUCAGGCUCAGACCUUACAUGCUAAAAGGCAAGUUGAAGGAGCAGCAACCAUCACAACACCAAGAAACCAACAGUAGUACCAUUAGCAGCUGCAGCAGUAAUAACAACAGUAAGAGCAAUAAAAGGAAGGCCAUGGAUGAGGGGCUUUCACCUGAGAAGACCAGGCCAAGAUUCUCCAGUAGUAGCUUGGCAUUGGUGUCAUAUGAAGAGACCGCCUAAUUGCUUACGCCAUCUACCUUGGAUUGGGUUUCCUUGAAUCAUAUGCCUGGAAACCCAUAUACAUACACCUACUUGAUUCCAAUUUUUGUUGUUGUCAUGAUCUCCCCAACAUCACAAGCAAAUGUAGAAAAGAAAAAUGGAGAUUCAAGUCAUGAAUGGAUAGAUUGGAUUUCUGAACUCAAAGCGUUUGCACAUGGAUGCGUUGCUACCUAUGCCAUCUGUAUUGCAGCAUUCAAAGGACAAUAUGAUGAAGAACCAUAGCAAAUCCAGCUGAGACGAGACAAUAAAAGGCAGGAAGCCGAGAAAAAGUUCAGGACAUCAGCCAUUAUUGUGUUCCUUGACCUCUCAGACUCCAUGCCGAAAGCUUUUCAGUGGCUUGCCAACCUUUGUCUGUAAUGGCAUGGGGGACUGCAAAUUGCAUGAUUCAAAGCAUCAGAAAAAUUUGAUCUACUAAUAAUGUAUCUGAGCCUUUUUGGUUUGAUCAGAGCAUGGAAAUAGCAUUCGAUCAAACCAAAGAGCUUAGAUUCUUCCCAAGCAAAACACUUGGCUUCCAGUAUUACUUGGAGUAGCUGCAUUUGACAGCCCACCGAAGGAUCGCCUUGCACGCAACCACCAAAUCAUUUAAUUAGUUCUUCAAAGGAUUGUCCCCAUGCCUUCUUCCACGGCAAUUAAUUCUUGCUUCCAAUAAAAGGGAAAUGCUUUUAUGAUGAGAACUUACAACAGAAUUUUUUUGCUAGAUUUUAGUAAGAUUAAAAAGGCAUUUUUACAGUUGAAGGACGACUGUGAUUCCAUUCUUACCAUUAAAAAGUGCAACCUGAUGCCUUGAGAGUUAGAAUCUUAGUGUCUCUUGUGUUGAGCAGUUUUGAUCCAAAAUGACAUCAUUUCUUGUGAGGACUAUAACAAGAAACACUUUUGGUCUCUUCCAUCUGACUCUCUAUUAAUAAUUUAAUAAUCAAAAAUUAAAACAUAAGAUUUUUAUAAAUAUUCAUAAAAUAAGUUGUAUAUAUUUCUAACAUAAACUAAUCACAUUAUUUUUGAAUAAUUUCUAUUAGUUUUGUCUCUUUCAUAUUAGUUUUUAAUAUUUUAGAGGUCAAUAGUUAUUUUCAUUAUUUAAUACAUUUACCAUUGAUUUUAUAAUUUGUAUAAUUUAAUAUGUUUUUUUUAAAAUAAAUUUAACUAAAAUUAUAAAAUUUGUUGGUUUUUAAUCCAAUUUUAUAUUCAGGGAUCUAACCCUAAAUCAAAUUGAAAUACGAAAAAAAAAGUAAUCAAUUUUUGUUGGAUUAUAUAUAUAUAUGAGAUAAAAUCAUUCUUUCUUUCGAUUUUAAAAAGAUUAUAUAUAUAUAUAUANNNNNNNNNNNNNNNNNNNNUAUUAAUAAUAUAUAUAUAUAUAUAUAUAUAUAUAUAUAUAUAUAUAUAUAAUUUGAGACAUUCGAAUGGAUUAGAAUAAUAUCAAACGAAAAUCAAAUAAAUUAAUUUUUUUAAUUAGAAAAAUCAAACGAAAAUUUCUUCUAAUCAAAACAAAAACUUGAAACGAUUUCCUUAAUCCCAAAUACUCUACCUACCAAAACCCACCGCUGAUUACUAUACUACCAAUGACCCAAAAUUGCUCCACCGCCGUCACCCCCUCGCUGCGUACUCCUGUUAUUGGUAUGGCCAGUAGAACCACCGCCCUCGCGUCCCUCUCUGCGGUGGCUGCCGCCCUUUUCGCUCUCAUCCUCGCUCCGGCUCUGCGCCUCACAUGUACCCCCUCUCUGCUACUAGUCUCACAAUCUUACUACUAGUUGAGAAUGAAAUCGAUGGUGAAGCAAUAGGGGAAUGACUUGGGGAGGGCUAAAACUGUGUCGUGCUUUGUGAAUCGCAGGGAGUCCGUGGAAAUGGAGUCGGAUUUCGGCGGACCUUGUGGUCAUGAAUGCGACCAUCUACACCAGCGACCCAUCCCUUCCUUUCGCCCAAGCCAUGGCCGUCCGAGGCGGCCGGAUUCUCCGAGUCGGCAGCUAUUCCUCUGUUGAGGUGUUUGAACUUUACCUACCUCUUGAAAUCUAUUCUGUUUUGUGUUUAUUAUUUGUAUCGGCCGUUGACGCUGGUUGGUCUCGUGUUGUUUGUGAGUAAAAAUUCGAGGAAAUCAAGAAUGAAACUGAUAAGUCAACAUUUGGUCAUCAUUGGUGCGAACCGGUGGGCUCGCGAAGAAUUGUCCGCCCACAUAGUUUUGCCCUUUCGAGGCUCGUGAGCCUCAAAAAGGCCUACGGGGUCGUACCAAUGACGAUCAAAUAUUGACUUAUCAGAAUGGUUCUAGAAGGAGGGCCUGAACCUUCGGCUUCCCUAGGGAAGAGCACUAAUAAGGACAUUUAGUCCCACAUUGGUUGAGAAGUAGGAGAACCAAGACUUAUAAGCCCGUCGGGUCACCUUUACCUUCAGAGAUGCCUUUUGAGGCUCACGAGUCCCGAAAGGGCAAAACUAUGUGGGCACGUCCAAAGCGGAUAAUUCCUCAUGAGCCUACAGAGUCUGAAUUCUAAGAGUUCUUCAAUGCCUCUCUAUUUAUUCAAAUCCAGGUUUAGUGUUGUAGGUUAAUUGUAAGCGUAGGUGUUGUGGCGAUGCCAUUUUAGAAUUAAUACAAAUGUUUUAUCUAUCAGUUUAUGUUGAAUAUAUUUAGGGGGUAUGAGCACAUGGAGAAACUUGAUAGCUUCGAGUUAUGAGUUGGACCAAAAAGUACAUACAAGGUUGUCUUUGAUUCCCCUUGUAGUUCCAUUCAUCUUUUGAAUGUUAGCUCUUGGCUGCACUUUUAAAAUUUAAAAGACAAUCAAGAUUUAGAGCUUAUGUGAAUUGCACCCUUUGAUCAUGUUCCAUGUGACAUAACUGGAAACUAAGAAGCAUGAACACAUGCUUUUGGUGGACUUGUUCGUGUCUGACGCAUGUUAGACAAGUAUAUGUCGUCGACAUGGCUGAACACAUGUCCAGUCAUGUUUAUUUAUUUAUUUUCAUUUCUAUUUGUUGGACAUGGCAUUGCUUCUGGUUUGCUUUCAUGCGCUUUGUUGCGUGACCCUCGCGUGCAACGUUGCGCUUGCAUGGCCCUCACAUGAGGGCCGUUUGCUUCAGAUUCUAUGUGGACACGGAUCGUCGGUGUUGCAAGGAAACAUAUAUCAGUUAUAUCUAGACAUUGUUAAAUAUUAUUUGAUGUACUCAAUAUUUAUUUUGGAUACCUACAUUUAGAUAAUUUUAAUUGUUUAAAUCUGUAUGAUGAUAUUUAUUUGUUCAUAUUGCUGAGUUUAUAAAAUUUAAGUAUAAAUGUCAUGCAACUCAUAUUAGUAUAAUAUAUAUACACACACAUGUGUCCUCGCCGUGUAUGUGUCCUAAUUUUUUAAAAAAUGAUGUGUCGCUGUGUCCCUGUCCCAUGUCUGUCUCUGUGCUUCUUAAACUAGAAAUAUCAACAAUAAAGUUACUUGUUUCUCACUGAACUAAAAGAAACUCGACCAUUUAAAUUGAUCUUGUAGGAAUUCCUUUACUAUUGAUUUGUGCAAAUGGAGGAACUGAGCUGCUUUAAUCAUGCUGUUUUGAAAGCAUGAACGUAUUGUUUUUUAUGCGGGACUAUGCAUCACUAUGUUGAGGUAUAUCUGAGAACUCAUGACCCAAAGAAGCUUAGAUAUUUACUUAUAACAGAGGAAACUAGAUUUGAUGCUCAGGAGAGGCUAAAAACUUGAAUAAGAGUAGGUUGAACCUAGCAUGGAAAUGGAAUGAAGUAUCUGUGUAUUGAAUUAUUGAUUACCUAGAGGUUCUAACUAAAUUGGCAUAUCCUGAAAGGGGAAAGAAGUCUCUGUGCGUUGAUUACCUUGAGAUUCCAACUGAAUUGACAUGUCCUGAGAAAAUUGACAAAAUAUUGAUUUAUUGAUCAUUCAGGCUGUGCGCUUGACAAAAUAUGAGCUUGGACUGGAUCAGCUGAUGCUUGUUUCACAUUUAAGGUUAACACAUUUUUAUCAUGGAUGUUGGCACUGCCUUCUUAUGUGAUUAUAGUUUUGCUUAGUGCAACUGCAUAAAGUAGUAUUGGCAUUGGCUUUUUAGAACUUUAAGUUGCCAAUGUGAUUUGAGUUUUGCUUAGUAUAACUACCUAACUAGUACCAACAUUGACUAUUUAGAACUUCAAGCUGCUAAUAUAUGUCUAAUUGCAUACUGGUUUGGACUGAAGGUGAAUUAGAUUUAUGAUCCUAAGACAUCCAUUGCAAUAUCAUACUGCUAUCAUUGUUGGAAACAUAUGAUCUGCAGCUCACUAGAGUGAUUUUAAUGUAAAAAAGAAGAAAGAAAUUGUUCAGUGCUUGAUCUGUAAUUGGGUCUCAUUGUAACAUUCAUUUUGGUAGACAAUAUUAGAUCAAACAUUUCUCAGAAAGGUUCAAUUAUACCAGUAUUGUUGACACAAGACCAUUUUAAUAUAUAUUUUUGAAUAAAUUUUAUUAAUUAGAAAGUAUUUUGCAGAUAUCAUAACUUGCAAAAUAACAUCUUCCAUAAUUCUACAUUAAUUAUUAAUAUUGUGAUCUUCAAGAUCCAAGAUAUAAUUAAAGGCUGAAAUAUGUUUAAGUUUGAUUGAUUGUGGUAGCACAAAGCAAGGUUUGCAAUUUUAGGUUGUGGGACCCAGAACGUACUGUGGCACUGUUGGUUUGGGUGGGGGUAAAGAAGAAGGACGAAGAGGAGAUGGGCAUGCUGCCAGCAGCAAGAAGGGGGCUCUUGGCAGGACUCCUCGUGAGCCCUAGAUGUAUCUUUUAAUGGGUGACUUCUCUUUUUACCUAAAAGUAAAAUCUGUUUUUGUCAUGAAUUGGAUCUGACUACCUGGUUUUAAGUCACCUGCAUCCUGGUGGCAAUCGGACUGGUAAAUACUGGCUGAACAGUAUCAGAACAGGUGAAAUUGCUUUCUUUGGCACAAAGUAACUUGGUGUUUCUAAGUUGGCAUAAAACUUGAUUGAAACCAAGGAGUUGCCGUUUUAGCAUACCCAGCUAAAUUUAUAGUAAUGCACAUGUCCAAGUCCAGAUAAGGGCUCGUUUUUAUGAGUCAGCACUGAGUGAGGAUGCCUGAUAACUGCCUCACACAUCAUUUAGAUGACCGACAGGAACAUGGUUCACUGCCGCAACAAUUGGUGCAUAUUCAGGUACAUCACUCUUAAAGUAGAAACAUGACCUUUAUUUGGAAUAUCAGAUGAAAUUUCUCCAAGGUUCAAAGGGAUGAUUCAAGCUUGGUUUAGUGUAUGAAACUGCACAGUAGACUGUUUGGAUGCUAUUCCUCUCUUGGUGAAAACAAGACUACAGAGAAGUUGAAGCAGCAGGAUAGCAUUAGAAGAUGCAGCAUUGGCAGAAUUAGUGGCAGCAGAAACAACUUCAGAAGAUUGGCAAUUCUUGUCCUCAGCGAAAUAAGGCCUAUGAGGAUUUGGUACAACAGUACCAUUGACCUUCCAAACUGGUUCAACAUAUGGCAGAUAGUUCUUACCCUUGAAAUGUAAAUGGCUUAACAGUCUAGUCUGGACAAGGCAUAGAAGGCAACGACCUCUACUGUCUCCCCUCCUCUCAUGAUUGCACAUCCCAUAAGGGGAUGUUGGCACAAUUAGGAGCCUCGUUAAGAGCAUCAUCAAAGCUAUCAACAGAAGAUUUUAGCAGCAAAUAUCUAGUAUGUUUUAAUCAUAAAACAGAUUCCUAUUAUAACUACGAGGUAGUAGAAGCUGUAAAGGUAGUCUAAGCCUCAGUGCUAUCUUUUUGGACAAUGUUAUUCUCUUUUUCCAUCAAUAAACACUGUUUUCCUGUCAACUUACCUGGGAGUCUAACUUUGACGUGGAGAAGCACAAGUUACGGGGCAUAGUUCCCAACAAUUUUUGUUUGAGAUCUUGCACUAUUCAGCUGUCCUUACCACCAUUCCCUACCAGUCAUCCAUUAGAUUUUCACUUAAAAAUCAAUUUUUUUGAUGAUUAUGAUGAAUGAUUGAUUAGCGAGAUUUGAUAGGGAUUGCCUUUACCCUGUUACGCUGAUCCAAUCGAUGAGAGCAUCAUGCAAGUUACACCAUGUGCUCCAAACUACCCAGUCACAUAUGCCUAAAAGGUGAAGUGGUUGUAUUCCAAUCAGUGCAACUUGGGAUCCUUCAAUUCUGUGGUAAGACUUGAUCUUUUAAUACUUAUAUGGAAUGCCUCUUCAGAAGAAUUUUCUUCAUAGAUGCUCCUUUUCCAUGGUAUGGAAGGCUUCUCUCAUCUGAAGCUGGUCUUGAAAUUCUCUGAUGCCUCUUCAGAACCAGACUGUCAGGUUCUGGAAUGAUGUUUGGCUUUUCUCCUUCCCCUUUUCAACUGUCCUAUUUCUUAUUUAUCCUAUCAUCAUGAAUAGUUAUAAUCUGGUGGCCUUCAUUCUGACCGGGAAGCCCAAUGUAUCUGGAAGCUAUUCUGGUAUAAUUCACUGGCCCAUCAACAUGGUAUAUCUUAUUUCUCUCAACACUAAUCAACCCUUGAAUAGCUCAAGGGAGUCUCUUAAGAAACUGGGAUUAUCUUCAAGCAUGCUUUAUUCUGGUUUAAGGUCCUCAUGUUUUGGUUACCCCAUCUAGGAUCAGGGUUUUGAUGCUGUUACUGAUUGUCCUUUUCGUUUUUCCUUCUAUUUUUCUUCACCUAUUCCUUUUUUUCUUUCUCAUCUUUAAUUUUCUUAUACUUAUUUCACAUCUUAUUGACACAAUCUUGCAGUUUUACUGCUUUUAACUAAUUUUUUUAGUCACUCAGUAAUAGAGUUCUGAAUAUGACCUAGAAAAUGAAUUUUCAUAAUAGUUUGUACAACUCUGAAUAUUGCUUUUCUAUACAUAUAAUAUUUUAUUUUUUGAAGAAGAGAGUACAAGAUGGAUGGAGGAAUAAAAACUGGCAUGUAUGAUUGUGUACACACAUUACUUGCCUCGAUUCAUCUAUUGAUCUCAAUUGUUAAAAUUUUUCUAAAAAGGUUAGCCUGAUUGACCCUUGUCUAGCAAGAACUUCAUAUCCCACGAACCAACCACGAGCCAAUUUGGCCCCAUGGACUUUCAAGUAUUUUCAGGACAUUCCUAGCAUCACUUAUCUUAGGAUGUUGUCCACAAAUAAAUAUUGAAGGUAGAAAUUACAUUGAUGAUGAGACUAUCUGUUCAUACUUCUGCCUGCAUUUGUCGGAAUCCUUUUGCCCUUGGUUGAUUAGUGUUGAGAGAAACAACAUAUACCAUGUUAAUUGGCCGGUGAAUUAUACCAGAAUAGCUUCUAGAUACAUUUGGCUUCCAGGUCAGAAUGAAGGCCACCAGAUUAUAACUAUUCAAGAUGACGGGUAAAUAAGUAAUAGGACAGCUGAAAAGGGGAAGGAGAAAAGCUAAACAUCAUCCCAGAACCUGACAGCCUGGUUCUGAAGAGGCAUCAGAGAAUUACAAGACCAGCUUCAGAGAGAUAAGCGUUGCAUAUCAUGGAAAAGGAGCAUCUAUGCAGAAAAUUGUUCUGAAGAGGCAUUCCAUAUGCGUACAUUUACUCUCCCAGACCCCACAUUGGCGGGAGCCUUGUGCAUUGGGUACGCCCUUUUAAAAAAUAGAGUACAAGAUAGAUGGAGGAAUAACUACUGCAUAUAUGAUUGUGUUCACACACAUAUUAUUUGCCUCCAUUCAUCUAUUGUUCUCAGUUGUUAAAAUUUUGCUAAAUAGGUUAGCCUAUCUUGUCUACCAAGAACUUCAUAUCCCACGAGCCAAUUUGGCUACAUGGACUUGCAAGUAUUUUCAGGACAUUCCUAGCAUCACUUAUCUUAGGAUGUUGUCCACAAAUAAAUAUUGAAGUUAGAAAUUACAUUGAUGAUGAUACUAUCUGUUCAUACUUAUGCCUGCAUUUGUCGGAAUCCUUUUGCCCUUGGCUUUCCAUUUUUUUAAAUUUAGUUAGCCCUCAGUAUGUAUUUUUAACAACUUUAGUUCUCAGUUUGCAAUAUUUUUUCUUAGUGCAUUUUCACUUCAACAUCGGAGUUCGAUGGAUUCCUUUAGUAAUAUGAAUGUAGUAGUCUUUCAUAUUACAUGAUCUCGUUGUUGUCAUUGAGAAACUAGCAAUCUUCAUACUCGGAUAUUGAAACUUUCUUUUUGUUGCAUAUUAAAUUUCUGAAUUGCAGGACCUGGUGGGCCAAGAAACUUAUGUGUUGAACCUUAAUGGGAAUGUUGUAAUGCCAGGGUUUAUUGAUUCACAUUUGCACUUGAUAUAUGGUGGCUUGCAGGUACUGCUGCUUAUUUUCUUUAUUUGAUAUUUAUGGUUUGUCAAUCCAAUUGGUUAAGAUGCUUGACAUAUAUUUCGUGUUAUUCAGUAACUCCCAUGACUACUUUAUAAUUGUCCACAUGCAAUAGUUUCAUUAUUGGUAAUGUGUCACACAUUUAAGUUACGUGAAACAUAUGUUAUAAAAUAACUUUUACUAGCUUCUGUACAAAAAAAAUUGAUUAAUUAUGCCAUGAGUUAUAAAAUUAACUAUGUCCAGAAGUCAUUCAAUUAGUGACUUUUUUUUAUUUUUUCUAAAAUUUAAGUAUCUAUCUCUUGGAGAUGGUGGUUUGUUCUUUGGUCUGAUAAUAUGAGUAAUCAAGUAUAAAGUUUAGCUGAAAGUGAAGAAACUUGUUAUGGGAUAAUCAGAAAGAUAACAAAACUAGUUAUCAGAGUAGAUGCUUUUCCAUUCCUAGAUAUAGCUGAAGUUUGCAUAAUUGCACAAAUAGUAUAUAUGCAGCUCAAUGUGUCUUAAGAUGGCUUUAAUUAGCUAAUUAAUAGAUUUUUUACUGUAUAACAGAGGCAACCAUUAUUUUUCUUAUUAAUCUCGUCUAGUUAUUCCCUGGUUUUGAGGCACAAAAGCUUAAGUUAAGGCAACAUGAGAUGGUACAGUGCCUUGCAUGGUUAAAAAUCUAGUUUGUACCAUGGUGUUGAACCCGUCCUAGGUUGGACCAACACGUCCUGACUGAUACCUGUGUACUGACAUUUCAUACACUGGUAUGUACAGAAGAGGAUUAGAGGAAGGAAGAAGAGGACAUAGUGGAGAAAGAGGAGGAAGAGGAAGAAGGAGAAAGACAAAGGAGGAAAAGGUGUUUGUAUGAUUUAGGUUUGACAUAUCAGCAUAUAUAUGCUCAUAUGAUUUAGAUAAUAUUCCAUUAUUUUGAUGAUUUAAGUAGUUUUUUCAGUUGCAGUUAGGGUGCUAAUGUAACUAUUCCAUCUAGUGAUAUAUUAUUCAUAUAAAACAUAUCAUUUUCCCAGAUAGUGAACGUAUUCCAGUGAUAUUUUGGUUCAUAUGUUGCUUUCUAUCACUCAGAUGGGACGAGUGGAACUUCGAGGUGUAAAAAGCCAAGAAGAAUUUGCAAGAAAGAUCAAAGAAGCUUUGAGAGGUUUACAUCUGUGCAACUAUCCUUUACGUAUUAAUUUGACAUUUCCAAAUUAACAGUUGGUUGAUGUAACAAAAUACAUAAUUCUGCUGGUCAAGUGAACUUGAUAUUUGAAUUUUGAAGCCAGGUUGGAGCCAACCAAUCUAUCAUUUAUAACAUGAACACAGAGCGAAACCUAACUAGGUUGUCCUUAUGUGCCUUUCAUUAUAUUUGCAGAGCAUAAAUCCUUCUUAGAAUUAAUUGAGACUUGAUCCAUCCAUUUGGCUCUAGCAAGGACAACAUGACUCCUCUUGGUGUUUCUCGUAUUCUACUAAAUCCUUUAGCAUAAUUUUAGUAAUGAACUUAUAAAGCACAUUACCAUAGGCAAUAGAUUUGAAAUUCCCAAAACCUAGUGGUACUACCAACUCCAAGCACCAAUGUAAAUGAAGUGGCAUUUAUUUUCUUGUCAAUUUCUUAGUUUUUUGCAAAAUGUGACAUAGCUAUUAUUAUGAAUUAAAAUCUCAGAAAAAGUGACAUUGGUCUUUGAAUGUACUUGUACAUUAGUGGUACACCUUGUUUGGCAUGUUGUUAUGGCUGGACCAACCGACAUGAAUUCAGUUGAUGUCAACAUGAAUUUUAAAAUCAAUAUAAAACUUAAGUUUUUGACUAAAGAAUCAAUCAAAAAUUAAAUUUUGGCUAAAAUUUUAUACUAAAUAAUUAAUCAAAAAAGUUUUUACGAUUUAUUGCAAAUCAUAUUAUGUAUAAGUUCUAAACAUGAAACAUGAUACACAUCAUACCUUAUAACUGACCUAUUACCCCCAAAAUAUUCUCCGGUAUCAAUGGGAGAUGGUUACAAGUUCUCAUUGUGGCUCGGUUGUAGAUUAAGAUUAUUUUUCUAAAGAACCCAUGCAUGAAAUUGUUUUGUUGGCAUCUGAUAUCAAUUUUUUUUUGUGCUAUUGAUGAAACAUAGUAGCAUAUGUGGUGGUAUCAUCAUCAAUUACUUGCGGUAGUAGGUUACUGGGUUAGGCACACUAUGACAAAUAUGACUAUGCCUGCUCGAGUAUAGUUGAACUAUGAGCUGUAUGAAGCAUUGAAUUAUGAGAAGGACCUACUAUCAUCAUGAUAUUAUUAUUUAUGAUAUGAGGUUCAUAGUGAGAGGAGAUUAUGACCAUGAGGAGUUUGUAUGAUUUGAGAUCUUAUCUCCUUGAAGUCAUCAAUUGCCUUUUUUUUGCCAUUGUCCUUCUGGCCGUAAACAAAUGGGGUGGAUCUGCAUAUACCAUGAUAGUGAUCCUGGGUGAUGAUUGAAAUAUUAUUCCCUAGACCAUGCUUUACUUUAUAUGUAUGAGUAAUGAGCACAUAAAACUCUAGGCCUUGACCAUCAUCACUAGUAGAUGCACUGUUAUCCAUCUUACUAUCAUCUAUGUGGACCUUAGAAAGAGUAGAUACAUCGGUGAAGAAGUGUCAUCCUCUGAAUUGAUUUGUUGCUCUUCGAUGAAAUCCAAUGGAUCAACCGACUUCAAUCACUGUGCUAUCUGGAUGAUUAUAACUGAUGCAUUCUGCCAUGACCCAUCGACUUCCGAAUGCUUGUAGCCAGACCACCUCCUGUCAUCAGGCCUUCCUCCUCAUACUGAGCAGCCUCGUCCUAUGGGUCGUUUUCCUUGAUAGCCUUUGAAAUGAAUGGUGAACUCUUGCUCAUUUACAAGUAAAUUACCUAACUCUCUAUUGUGUACUUUAGCUUUGAAGUGUAAAUGUUGCCUUCAGCUAGAGUUGGUGGCAAGUUAAGUGACAUUUCAUCAUAUGUCUUUAUAUUUCUGCAUGCACGCAGUGAUGAUUAUAAAUGAACGAGUGAUGCUCUCUGUUAUUGCCUCUGUCCUCUUCGCCAGUCCAAUAUCACCAAUGUCCUUUAUCAUGAGGUGUAUACAAUGGGCCAUACAUCAUGUCCAGAAAAGACGCCUUCUAUUGUCCAAUGAUUUGCUGGCCCUUUUUUGAGGUUAGUGUCAUUAUCGGAGAUCACUUGCAGUCUUGCACUAUACAUUUCUCUCCAACCUUAUCUACCAGUCUUCAUGGAUCCUGAAUGUAUAAUGUAUCAUGAAAAUGGUAUGAUGCAUCAACUGACUUAUAAAAGAUAAUUUUUUUUUUGUUGCAAUAGAUUAAAAAGUUUAUGAUAAUCAUCCUGAUAGGACCGAAUAAUAGUCACAUCAUAAAGGCCCCAUUUCUUCUUAAUUGAUAUGAUGCAUCAACUGACUUAUGAAAGAUAUUUUUUUGUAGCAAUAGGUUAAAAAGCGUAUGAUGAUCAUCCUGAUAGGGCUGAAUCAUAGUCACACCAUAAAAGUCCCGUUGCUUCUUAAAUGACUUGGGUUUUGGAUUUCAUCCACCUCUUUAUUAAGAUAUUAUAUAUACAUCUGUCAGCAAUCUCAAAUGAAUCAGGAACUUGUAUACCGGGACUAUGUUGCUAAAUGAACCAAAUAACUUGAUAAUAAGGGCCUCAAGCUACAUAUGCAGGGAUGUGGUAUAUAUUAACCCAUCUUGCAAUCACCUUUCAUAUAUUCUCUUUUUUUUCCUCCUUAGUAUGAGCAUCAUCUAUCAUGAUUUAUUUUGUACCUUGAAGGAGAAACCAUCGGUCUAAAUUGCCAACAUUAGGAGAUCGCCUCUUGCCUAAUGAAUUACAAAAAAAAGAAACUCCAUAUGCCCCCGCCUCAUAAUGGUAGUUUGGUCCAGCUCAUGUGCACCGCUGGGCUACAUUAGAAGCCAUGAGACAGGAUUCACGAAUAAUCUUUCUUAAGCUUUUUAACAAUAGCAUCCUUUUACCUCUUGUAUGUACAUUUGAGGUAUAUAAAAGAAGAUAUACAUGAAGGAUCUUCAUUUCAAGUUCUGUCUGAGCAUUUAUCAUGAAGAUUGGGUCUUCUCCAAUUUUAACUGUAUCAUAUAUUUUUCUGGGAUUUAUUUUGAGGCCGCAUUUUUUAGCUUAUUUUACAAUUUGCUUGCUGAUAACAUUUAUGCAUGUACUCUUUUUUUUUUCUCAAUAUUUCUGUUGCUACUUGUCACUACUAUUGAGAGAUGACAUUUUAAGUACAGCUUAGCUGUACAUACUACUGUUUGCUGAUAUUGGUACCUGAUCAGCUUUUACUUCUUGGAUCUUUCUGUUUUUCAAAUAGUUUUUAGCCCUAUGUAUUGUAGUAGGCAUAUGACGUGUGCAUGAAAGCAUCACCUAUUGGUGACCUUAUACAUGUUAAAGGAAAGAAUCACCUAUUGGUGAAGCCUUAUACAUGUCAAUAGUAUCUUUCCUUUUUUUCUUCUCUCUAACUUCAUUAGAAACAUAUUCAUGACAGAUAAACUUCAUGGUGAGUGGAUCUUAGGUGGCGGAUGGAACAAUGAUCUCUGGGGUGGAGAAUUACCUCUUGCUUCUUGGAUAGAUGGCAUCACACCUGACAACCCAGUUGGUUCUCAUGCUAUUAUUUUCAUGCUAUAUGUUGAAGUACCAACAGCAUAACUUGAUAUGGAACAUUGUUAUGGAUAGGUAUGGCUUUCGCGCAUGGAUGGUCAUAUGGGAUUGGCCAAUUCACUUGCCCUAAAGAUAGCUGGAAUUAACAACAGUACAUGUGAUCCAGUUGGUGGAGCUAUUGCGAAGACUUUGGAGGGCGGUAAAUAUGAAGCUCAAUAAAUUAUAAAAUACUAUUUUAGCAUAACGAAGCAGGUUAAAUUGAUAUUCGUUUGCAGUGCAUUAGUGGAUUAUGUAGGGAAAUUUAAGAUUUGAACAGAUUAAUUUCUGCUUGGUAACAAAAGAUGGCAAAAAACAAAUAGAUGGACUAUGAGAGCAAUUAUGGGGAAAUUAAACAUGUAAAGGAUUGAGGAUUCAUGCUUGACCUGUAGCCAUGAUGCUUGUAAAAAAUUUCAACCAAGUUUUUCCUAUCCAUAAAAAAAUGAUUGGUUCACAUUUGAGUUUUCACACUCCUCUUGGGUUUGGAAGUUCUGUAUUGUAAUAAGCUUUUUUGCAAGUGCCUUAUAAAAGGAACAUAAGUGGAGUAUUGUGGAAUCAACAAAAUAGCACAAGCAUUGGAAAGAAAGGUGAGCUAGUGAGAAUAGGUCUAGUUUGUCAAUUGACUCAAUUCAAUUAUUUUUUUGUUGACAAAAAUGUGAAGAUUGUAGCUGAAAAGUUAGCAGUUAUAAAUGAGAUGAAAGAUAAACUAAAAAAACAUUUAUCAUUACAAUCACUAAACAAAGGUAAUCACUAAUGCUUGGUGAGGUUAUGAAAAGACAACACAGAGAGAACAAUGAAGGGUAUGACUGAGAUUUAAGAUACACAAAUGGUGCCAAAUAAAAGAAGAGAUAAAACGUGAGCCUAGCCUGGCCUGAGAUUUAAAAUACUUAACAAAUAGUUGUAUCAUAAACAGUUGUUGUCAUAUAUUGAUACUUUAACUAUUAAAAUUGUUUAUACUUAUUUUAUAAAAAAUAAGAAUUUUAUCUUCUGCAGUAAUAUAUUGGCUAGAUGGGUAUAUGUACCAUGUGUAUAUGUUUGAUGCAGCACAUGGGUAGAUCAGAAUUUAAUUUCACAUGGGUAGAUCAUAAUUAACUUUUUCAAGGCAUUAAAAGUUUACUUGCAGGAUUUUUCCAGUGAGCUAUUAAAUUAAUAAGAAGAUCAAUAGUGGCAUUGAAAAAGAAUAGUUCCAAAUUUCAAGAUACUAAGAUACAAGGCACUAUGAAAUAGUGAUGUUUUUGUAAUUUGUAUUAGUAAAUUGAAACAAUUAAUUAGAUCAUUGGUGGUUGACAUUUUUAAUACACGGAAUAUCCAUAAAAAGAGAGGGAAAGGAGUCUGUGAGGGAAUUUCAUAAGGAUAUUUCAGAAACUAAAGGUGGCUAUGUCAUUGUUUUUACUUAUUUUCUCUGACGCAUGGUUUGGUAGGACACCACAUGUUGCUAUAUCUAGUGAAACACCAAUAGUAAAUGGAUUGAAUUCAUGCAUGAUAAAUAUGCCACUAAACGUGGUGACGGAACAAUUUGCAGUCAAUCAGUUAUAUUAUACUUAAACAACAAAUUCUUAUACCAGUCACACUUGCAGCUUCCUUUAAGCUAAUUGUAUGAUAUUCUAUGGUAAAUGAGCUUCUUCCCAGCUAGGAACCAAAAAAAUUAUAAAAAUUUUAUUGUUAAUGAAAACCAAAGGGUCACAGUAUUUCCUUAUGUCCAUUAGGUAUUAACAAUUACUUGAAAUUUAAAGUUUGGCUCUGCUUGACUUUGUUUUUCUUUAAUUUGUAUAAUUCUACAAUCCAGAGCCUAGUGGUCUGCUGGUUGAUUCUGCAAUGAAGCUUGUUCUAGCUGUGAUACCUGAAGUCUCGAUCCAUGAUAGGAGAGACUCACUGAUCAGAGCAAGCAAGUAUGCAUUAACGAGGGGAGUGACAACCGUGAUUGACUUUGGGAGAUUCUUUCCAGGCACAUCAGUUGAUCAUAUCUGGCAAGACUUUUCAGGUUACACUUGGGAACCUCUUUAAUUUUCUUCUCAAUAGUUUGAUGACAAGCUACCUUUUAUCCUAAAGGCUAUGUGCUGUCAUUAAAGGAGGUUAUUUAGCCUUCUCCCAUGUUGCAGAAUAUAGUCUAUUUCUUUACCCCAAGUAGUAAAGUCAACAUGUAUUGUUGUAUAACCUGCUGAAUCAAGUGAUUCUGCCACAUUGAUUAUUUGGGAUUAGUCUCCUUGGGGAAGACUAUCAUUAUUAUUAAAUAUAUAUUCCUGAAUUGGCUUUUCUACUUUAGGAUUAUCAUCUUAUCAGAUGGAUUUUAAUUGGUUGUGCUGUCCUUGAUAUACAUAUCAUUUCAGAUGUUUACCAAUGGGCUGAUUCUUCUGGGAAAAUGCUGAUCAGAGUUUGCUUAUUUUUUCCAAUGCAAACUUGGUCUCUACUGGUUGUAAGUAUCAGAGCCCCAAUUACAAUUCAUUCUUGUACUUGAAUUUUUACUAUAUUACAAUAUACCGGACCAAGUCUUAAAUCCGAGUAUUAAUUAUAAGAAUUCAGUGUAUUCUUCUUAAUUCUUAUCUGUUUUCCUUCACUGUAAGUUGUUCAAAGAUAAUAAAGUCCUAGACGACAUCUUAUUUUGUCACCAACCCAAUAAACCACAUCAUAUGCAUACUUACUGGAGGAGCAGUUGAUAUCAACUAGUAUCUUGGUAUGGAAAUAUCGAAUAAGUUUCUGGAGCUCAAAGGUCCAAUGCUAAAGGUAUCAAGCAACAACCAUGAAGUUAUACAAUUUAAAAAGGCUUGAUUUAUCUGUGUUUCACACCAACACUUGUUAGACACAUUUUGACACAUGUUGGGUACCUCGAAACACAUAGACUCUUUGUACCAUCUAUACUCGUUUAUAUUAACAUACUCUAUAUAUAUAUAUAUAUAUAUAAUUUUAUUUAAUGUAAUUUAUGCAUUCUUUGUUAGUUAAUGGUGUAUAUUGCAUGAUAAAGCUGUUGAUGUCUGACUUGCUAUAUGUUCCUGUCAAUCCCUAAGAUCCACUUAUAUCUUGGGGUGACUUCCACAAACUUGAAGCACUUUCAUGCCCCCAAAACUGGAAUUAAUAGUUGUACUCUGAUUGAUCUGUGUCCAUUCAACUGAUCCCAUAAUUAUAGGAGUUUUGUGACUAGGCUCUCCUUUUCUGAUCAGAAAUUAGCUUAUGAGCUAUUCUAGAAGUGGGAAGGUACAUUCAUGAAUUGGCUCUAUAGAUGUAUCUUCUGGUUAUAUGUAUGCUAUUCUAGGUUUUACAUAUGUGUGUGUGGUACAUAGAGGUGUCAAUAUCUUUCCCAAUUGUACAUUACUUGUGGAACAAAAUUGCUUACCAAAAUUGUAAUUCUACUAAACCAAAUUGAUUUUUCGUAUGUGUUGGCUAGUUUAGCUGUAAAAAUUUUGUCAGAUCACUGCAAGGCCCUGAGAUCACCAUCCACCUUCAACACUUAUCAUUUGCAAAAAAAACAAAAUAAAUGUUAGUAUAGAAUUGUAUAGAUGUACAUCCUAGCCUCAACCAAGGAUUUUAAUUUCGAAUAAUGUCGUCCGUACUGGGUGGCACGUACCGGUCCACCAGUAGACCGGUGCGCGGACUGCUUACUACCGGGCAGUACUGUUGAUUGAGGCUUUUUUUGCCCCGUUACCACCCUAAAUCGGUUGGUGAUGGUCGAUUUCGACCGUCACUAUCCGCUACCGGGUGUAUUAGCCGAGGGAGAAGAAAGAAGAGGGAGAAGAAGAGGGAGAAGAAAAGGGAGAACCUAGAGAUCCGACGUCGCUCUCCCUUGACAAUCCUGAUCCGUCGCCGCUCUCCCUCGUCGGACGUCGUAGAUGAGAUGUUGCCUCCUUGUCUGAGGCGACGAGGCCUCGACGUCGUCAGCGACUUCUCCUCAUCCGCGCGGGGAGAAGAAGCCUCGGUGACGUCGCAAGGAGAAGAAACUGAGUGUCGUCGAGGCGACCUUUCUUCUCCCUACGUGGGCAGAAGAAAUGACGCGACGAGGCGGCGACGUCGCCUCAUCGCCCGUUUUUGCAUGGGGAGAAGGAAACCUCAGUUUCUUCUCCCCACGUUGUCAUGGAUAGAAUUGUAAACGGGGUGUUUGAUGCAAUGCUCAUGUAUGCUCGUGUCUUUCGGUUUUGUUCAUGCUUUGCACAACAUGUAAAGGGCUGACAGUAGGCUUAGCAGCCCUAUUUUCUUUGGUUUUGGUGGUCGUCCUAAGCUUGCAAACAAAGGUUGUGUCAUGUGGGCACUUUUGGGGAUUUCGGUCUAUAGUGGAUCAUUUUGGACCCUUUAUUGUGCGACCGUUCAGAGCUUGUGAAGUCUGUUUGUAAUUUGCAUUGGCUAUGAAGUGUUUACUGAAAUGAUUGCUUGUGGAUCCCGAGUGAGAUGCUUUCUUUAACCUAUUUUCUCUUUUGUAAGUCCUAAGGGACCAUAGGAGGUUUCGGGGAGGCUGACCUUUGUGGACGGACACGCAAGGGUGCCACACGACUUUGGCAAAAUUAGCAAAGUGCAUGACAACAUUGGUAGAAAAACGAGUUUUCUUUUACUUUAUAUAUAUAUAUAUAUAUAUAUACCAAGCGGUACACCAGAAUGUACCGCUCGGUAUACCAUACCGUAUCGUAUCGAGCUGAUCUCGAUACUCUGAUACGGUACGAAAUUACAAACCUUGGCCUCAACCAUAAAUAAAGUUAUGUACAUGAAAUUUGGACGACAUUCAAUUGACAAGUGUUUUGUGACUAUCUAUAUGUUGUAAAAUGGUGGCUUGCUUAUUUUCUUUUAUUUAAGUGUCUAUGCUUAACUGCAGUUUGGUUAUUGUUGUCCACAUAUUGCCUUGAAAUCUGUUUUUACUAAUGUUUCUUUGAUAUAUCAAUAGAUAAUCUUUGUCUCAAAUCAUUACAUCAACUGUUGAUUCCUUAGGAUCUUAUUCAAGAAAAAGGUAGAGCCUUGAGUCAAUGGAUACAUUUGGGUGGUGUCAAAGCUUUUGCUGAUGGGUCUUUGGGAUCUAGUAGUGCACUUUUCUACGAGGUAGGUUACCAUUUCUAUCUAAUACAGUAUAUUCAUUUAAAAUUCACGCAACUGAUCUUUCUUGUUUAAUUCCCUUUAUGUAAAUAAAAUGUUAGCAUAUGCAUUUUAUUUGAUAUGAUCAAGAACAUGGAGUCAGCAUUGCCAUAAUUACUAUUGUUUCAUGCAGUCAUUUGCUUAUUUCAUUUUUAAUUUUAGGUUAUGGGUCAUGUCAUGGUUUUACAUGUGCCUGGUUGAUCCAUCCAAAAUCAAUAUUCUAAACUAGUUCCAGUUAUCAUAGGCAAUUACUAUAAUUGUGUUGCCUUUGGGUUUCUAUUUGAGCAUACUGAUUGCAUACAUUAUAAUAGUUCAUCUUUAAUGUUCUAUCAAUUGAAUUGCAAAGAGACUUGGAAGAAAAAGGUGCCAAGCGUGUAAGAGAUCCAUUUCAAACGAAAAUCAACCAAUUUUAAUAUACUUGGGUUAAGUUCCACUUAGUUCAGGCCAGCGUUCGCCUUACUGGUUCAUACCGAUGUACCGACCAGUCGACGAUAUAGUACACUACAUACCGCUCCGUACCAACAUACCAUGUGUUAGUAUGGCAGGACGCACCGAAGACAUGGAAAAAUGGCUGAAAAUAGCUCCAAAAAUUCUUUAAAAUAGAAAAAACAUAAAAUUAGUAAUUUUAAGUUAGAAAUAAAUAUAAAUUUAGUAUAAUUUUAGCAAAAAUAAUCUAAAUUAGGAAAGAAUAAUUGCAUAUAUCUUUUUCGGGCUUUGAGGAGUAGCUGUGUGGUAUGUUUCAAAUUGUUAUUUUGUUGAUAUUAAAUUAUCUACAAGGAAAUGAUUUGAAUUGUUAGAUUAUUUGUUAAACAACUUAAACUUUAAGAUUUAAAUUAAUUAAGCAAUCAAUUGAUGGAUAUACAUGGUUCUACCGCCAAAAAGAACGACGGGAUUUCACAAGUGAUGGAUCAAGGUUCUCGAGUAUAUGUAUAUGUAUAUCAAUUUGAUAUAUUUGUCGAACCUAAUCCUGAAAUUGAUCUCAUGAUAUAUUAUAUUGAUACACCAUAUGUCAUUAGUGUAUUAAUGUGGUGAUGGUCAUAGUUUGAUUGUCAUGAACCACAUAUCCGAGGCGGCUCCUAAGGCAAGUACGAUUGUGGCAUGUAUCGGUGGCGGAGGUUAGAGAAAGCUGAAACUUCUACUUUUGCUACUGAUAUAUUGCUUUGUAUCAUAAGAUCGAUUAUCGUACUGUUGCUCGGAGAAGAAUGACCAACUAUCAUCGUAUUGUUGUUGGUCGUAAGAUUCUCCAUAAUACGACAACUGUGAAUGCGAUGAGUUCCGCUUUAUGUCUAAGUUAUGUAAGCUCUAUUGCAUCUGCUCAAAAUCAUCCACUUCCUUCCCCUUCUCCUUCCGUGUAUAAACUUAACCAGUAACUCGUCAAAUUUCAUGAUCUGAAUCUUGGGUGGCAUGUGUAAGAAACUGCUCCUGGUCCAUCCACCACUCUUAAAUUAUGUUGACGGGACCAUCGACUCCCUGACAAAGCCGCCAUCGUCGGUCGAGGCACUGCUGUAAACAUCACUGCCAUGUCUUCGGACCGAGAGGGUUGCUGAAUGCAAUUGAGAAGGUGUUUCGUUAUCUGACUCGAUUCUUUCCAACAGUGGUUGAUGUUACUGCCUUCCCUUUUGUCUUUUCCUUGCUCGUUGGCAAACGAUUGUGAUAGUUAGGUCUCUAGUUCCUCGAGUAAUUUGACUCGAUAUUGUUUGGCUCUUGCCACGUUCUAACCAAGGGUGAUCUUCCUCUUGUUGGGGAUAUGAACAAGGGUUUGACCGAGAGUGAUGUUUUGCCAUGUUCUAACUCUAGUUAGAGAGUGAAAAGGGAGAGAAUGAGGGGGUAUAAAUGGUUUAAAAACCCUUAGAUCUAGUUCAAAUGGUCAAACAAAUUGUUUGAAGUCAAUAAAUGCCGACCAUUGAUUUGUAUCGAUUGAAAUCCAACCGUUACCGAUCGGUAAUGGUCGGAUUUCGAUUGUUCUGAUCAUUACAGACCCCAUAUCGGGCUAUACGGGGUCCCUUAUUAUGGACCAUUUCUUUCACUGUAAAUUGAGAUGACUUUUUGAGAAUGAGCUUUCAAUUCCUUGAUGAGUUUUUUGAGAAAAGCAGGCCAUGAACUAACCCAUUUCGGAUUGUUCAAGCCAGUUUAUAACCUCCCUCGUCUCGCUUUAUCAUUGUCACACUUGACUCUGUGCCCUACAACUCAAGCCACCCACCGCUCAUCCCCCCUGACCCUGUCCGUAAAAGCCACUUGAUGCCUGCUGCCCAAUACUCCUCAUUCUCUUCCGUUCCUAGUCCUCUCCUCUCUUCUCCUCUUCUUUCUCCUCCUAUUCACCUUCUCCUUCUCUUCUUCUUCUCAUCCUCCUUCCCACUUCUUAGUCACGCAGCAUGUACCAACAUACUAUGUGUAUGCUAUCAUGAACUGGACCUGUAUCAGUCCAGUCAGGGACCAAUAUGGAUCUAGUACUUGAGAUUUCAAACCCCUUUUGAAACCUUGCCAAUAAACCAAAAUUUUUAACAAACCUACAUAGGUCAGCAUCACAAGGUAAAGAAGAAAGAGCAUAAACAAAGAUAAGCAUAAAAAAGGAAGAAAAGGAGAGAAACACAUCCAUGAACUCCUUACACAGUUAGGUGUCAAAAACUGGAGAAGUUGAGAGAUCUCUGCUCAAGAACCUGAAGCCCAUUUCUGCUAGAAAGAAAUUCAGGGAGAACCAUGGCCUGAACCAAGGUUUACUGUGCCAACUUGUACCUGGUGGUACGAGCGGUACAUAUCAGUCCGAUAGAGGAUUGACACGUGGACUGCCUAGUACCGAAUCAUGAUUUCAUCAAUCGAGAUAUAAAUUUCAGGUUUCCUUUUCAAGUUUACGGAUCUGGAUGCAUACGGAUCCAAGUUAGAAAUGCAAGGAUCUGCCUUAGAUGCCUGUAAAUCACAGCGUAAAUCUUUACAGAUUUGACCUAGUUCCACACCCAUAUAGGUUAGGUCCGUGUGGAUCAGGCCUAUAUAUUGGUAGAUUUAUGAAGAUUCACACAAAUCUGACCAACAUCUAUGCAAAUGCCAUAUAGAUCUAUGCAUAUCUAUGACUCUUCUGUGAGAUCAGACCUUGAUUUCCAAUAUUAAAUUUAUGAUUAAGAUGGACAAUUUUUGAAAAAAAUGACAAUGAUGCAUUGGAGCACUGGCCUCACGUCGCAGUAGGCUCAUUGUUUGAAUAACUGCCAUUAUGGCAAAUGCAUUUUCUAUGACUACAUUGGUCCUGAUAGAGGAAUAACCUAUCUGAAACAACUUUUGGCCACCGGAUUUUCAAAUGUGACCAAAUGCAUGAAGGUGCCACCACAGCAAAUCAGAUCAUCUUUCUGAGCCUGUUGAGGAAGAGAGGUUUAAGAAGUCCCAAAAAAGCCCCAAAGGGAUUUAUUAUGGAUCCAAAACUGGGGGUAAGAUUAUUGUUUGACAUAGGGGCAGGUAAUGGUCAAAUACUGGAUGUUAUGUUUGGUACGAUAAGUGUAACAGGUGGUAUGCCUGGUUUUGAAACAGCUCAGGCAAUUUUGCGUGUUAGAGUGCCGGUCCCCUGUCAGACAGGUAUAGACUGAGGCCUAUCAAGUGGUACAUUUGGUUUUCAAAAUAAUUAGGUCUUUGGGCAAAAUUAGUUCACCUUUUUGUUUAAUAUACAAAAGUUCAAAAUAGCCUUUUAUAUAGAGCUUUGGAGAAAUUGGUAUAUGUUAAUUGUAACAUGCAUCUAUGAGACUAUGACUAUAAUACUAAAUUGGGGACAAAGAAAAGUUGGGGACCGAGGAAGAAUCCAUUUGAUUACCUAUUGUUUAGGAUGAUUCAGACCCUUUGAUGGACUUGCCAUGGGCAGCUGAAAAAUCAGGAUGAUGUAGUGCACGUUGAAGAUGGAGAUCCACCAUAUCCAUUGAAGCUCAUCUCAUACUGGAUCUAGGAGGAUUAGGUGGCUGAUGAUUCCGAGCCUCUAGCAAGGGCGUUCGACCUAAGAAGGAUGAUAGAUUCAAGCGCCUUAUGUAUAACUUCAGCAGGAUCACGAUGCAUUUUAGUCAUGCACAGGAAGUCUGUCACAGUCAUCCAAGGGCAAAAUGAUGUCAGAGGUCACUCAUUACAAUUGAUUCUUUAAAUGCCAUUGAUGACUAACAAUUUGAGGAUGACAUGACAACCAUCAUGUGUUUUAGAAUGAUGAUAGUGAUGAUAGUAAUGAUGAGGAUGACCAGGGCUUGAGUUUCUGUCUUCCCAUGAACUAGAGUUGUGGCAUGCGGAUAGGAACAGAGAUUUACUUAUUCCGAUCAAGAAAAAGAUCAUGUCUUCUGAUCCAAUAGAAUUUAUGAAAAAGGAGAAGAGCAAAGAAAAGAUAGUUGAUGUCUUCGAGGAGAUAGGGAGAGCCUAGCUGAGACUGAGUUUGACAAGUGUUCCUCAUGGUAAUUGCCUUCCUACCAGCAUAAAUUUUGUAAGUCAGAGUAUGCUUUGAUCUGAUACUGAAUCAGAGUUUUCAUUUGCCCACAGCGAGAAGAGCAUUGGAUUGAUAGUUCUAGAAACUACUAACAAAUAUGUAAAAAGUAACUAGGCCCAAAUAUGCGUAGAAAAGGGGAAAGUUGAUUGUUACAAAUGCGUGCUAUUACAUGGUAUGGCUUGGUGCUGGUACCAUACAGGUCUGAUCACCAGUCAGUAACACUAUCAGGCCUGCAUUUUUGGUUUUUGGUCUUGUAACAUAAUUAGUUAGAAAAUAUGUUAUUGUCUAAUAUUGUUUCAAGCAAAAAUUAUGUCUGUUUGCUUUUAGAUUUGCAUUUUGACUCAGUUGCACAUGAUAUUUAUCUAAUAUUAAUCAUUUGUUCUUCUUAAACUUGCAUAACCCGCAUUUAGACUCACAGAUAUAUUCAUGUCCUUUCAUUAUAUAUAUUUGCAAAUACCAAUUCUAACUUGUUGUCUAACAAUGGAGUCUUAAUGAGUUUCUUAGCCUUAUGAGGAGGAUCCAUACAGUUAUGGAUUGCAAGUAACAGAUAUAAAUUGGCUCCAAAAUGUGACAUUGCAUUCAGACAAAUUUGGACUUCAGGUAAUAUCUAUUUAUUCUGGCCAAUUUGUGCUCUGCAACUAGAAGUUGUUUCUAAUGUGUUAUUAGUCAUGUAAUCAGGUUGCCAUUCAUGCCAUCGGAGACAAAGCCAACGAUAUGGUGCUGGAUAUGUAUAAUACUGUUGUAUCUUAUAAUGGAAUGAGGGAUCGCAGAUUUAGGGUCAUGUUCUUUCUUUAUCUGAAUGAAAUUCAUAGGAAGUUCAUGUGCUGUUAGUCUUUAGCUGUCUUAUGCAUUGCUCAUCUACUGCUGAGAAAAGAGAUGCUUUUGUUUAUUAUGAGCUUAAUUCUUGUUGUCAUCAACUAAUUGGCCAUAAACAGAUUGAACAUGCCCAACAUCUGGUUCCAGGAUCAACCAUACGUUUUGGUGAACAAAGAAUUAUUGCCUCUGUACAGGUAAACCGGAGAGCAAUUAUUUAUUUAUUCCUUCAUGAAUAUUUAUCAUGGGCUUUCUACUAAGUUCUGUAAAAGGAAAAUUAACUAAUAAUGUAUGGUUGAUCUUGUACACUCCAAUGUUUGGUAGAGACUACAACAAAGUCAAAAGUUCCUGGAUGUCUUUACUCUCCUUAUUCAUCAAGGAUCUCUAAGUAAAUCUUUUGAGGCUGGUUAGUUCUUGUGUUUCAUAUGUGAGAAUUAGGAGAGAAGUAUCUGGACAUGAUACAAUAUGGUCACUGUCUGUCCUUUUUGAAUGAAAGGUUUUAAUUUAAUUAUUUUGGUUCUUUUCGCUGUAUACAGAACUUUGCUUAUAACUUUAGACAUGGAUGGGUAUUUUCUUAUUCCUGCUUUACAUGACAAGAUGAUGAUGUGGUGAACUCUAAGAUACAUUUAUUUUAAAAAUUAUGAAAAGAAAAGAAAACAAAACUUAUGUGUCUUUCUUCUGGAUAGUUUGAGGCCAUCGUAUCAGUGUGAGACACAUCCUAGAUGCAAUAUCUUUGGACUACCCAUCUUUCCUGUUUGUUUUUUCUUUACAGUAAGGUAAGAGAAUGGUCAUUCACACACUAUAUACAGCAAGAAUUCAAAUUACAGUCCUGUACAAGUUCUGGAUUCUGUCAGACUGUUAUGGUGCUUUGUAUACCAGGCGAUACACCAAACUGUACAGCCUGAUGUGAUGAUGUCACUGAAGAACAUAAUAAAUACAACAAUGAAUGAUAGUGUCCUAUAUCAAGCUGUAUACUUUGGUGCCGAACUUGAUCAGACUGCUAAAUACCAAUCAAUAUAUAUUGGGGCCUCCAGUAUUUAAAUCCUUGAUAUGCAGUAGGAUCCGUCCAUCAAUUUCUAGAUUUGUUGGCAUACAUGUCCUAGAUAGGUUCAUUAAGUUCUGGAUCUUAUAUCUACUGCCACAUUCCACCAUCCAAUGAUUAAAGGCAACAACAUCAAAUAUCUAUGCUGUGGGAAAGCUAUUCUUGAUCUAAGCUCAAUUUUUUUCAAUUCAUAUGUGUGGCGCAUAUAAACUUGAAAAUAAUAAUCCUUUUUCUUUUUAAGUCGGCUUAGAAGCUUCACUAACAAAUGCUGUGCAGCAUCUUUGUUCUGUUGCUCAAUGGAAUGAUCUACACAUUAACAAUAACGAGAUAUAUUUCUUAUGAAAUACUUUAAGCUUCCAGACCUUUAUCAUGGAAAAUUCUUGACUAUGGUAACCUACAAAAAGUUGAUGAUGGAUUACAAUAUAUGAAUAUGCAUGUCAUCCAUCUAGCGAGCGACAGUGCCAUACUGUUGGCAUCAUUAUGCUUAAUGAUUUUCACUUUUGCUAUUUUUAUCUUUUUCUUUUUCUAUUCUCUGUCUUCAUGCUUGUGAAGUCCCCAAAGAGAAGUAUAAUAUGAACAUCUUCAUGCACCAAUAUCAUGUUGCAUGCCCAAAGUUAUUCUAUGUCUUAUUGUCUCAUCAUUGUUUUCUAAUUCUAUAUGUACCACAAAACCUGUUUUGAGACAUUAGUUCUUGUUGAAGAAGUAAUUCACUGAUUAGAAAUAUACUUAUGUUAACAGCCAGAUCAUCUCCUGGAUGAUGCUAAUUCUGCUGAAAAAAAAAUAGGCACCAUGAGGGCUCAGAGAGGAUCAUAUUUGUUCCGGUCACUCAUUGACAGUGAUGCAAUCUUAGCUUUUGGUUCUGAUUGGCCGGUGAGUAUUCUUAAGUAUGAUUUUUUCUUAAUUUAAAACCUCGAGAAACUUUUACAUAGAUGUACCACUUAUGAAAGUUGACUGCUAAGUCAUUGCUGGUGCAUUGUCAUUCUAGGUUGCUGAUAUCAAUCCACUAGGAGCCAUAAAAACAGCACUAUACCGAGUCCCUCCAGGAUGGGAAAAUGCUUGGAUUCCGAGUGAGCGUAUGGCUUUAUAUGAUGCUCUGAAAGCGUAAGAUACUUUCCUCCUAUUGUCUUUGCUGCUGUUGGUUUACAAAAGAGAUGACACGUUGGGAAUAUUCAGUAGUUAUUGCUACCUUAAUUUGCAAGUUUGGCACAUACAAUUGCAGUGAAUCAAAGCUUAGUUGAAAUGGAUGAGAUACAGAAUGGUUCGCCUUAUCGGUUCAUACCGAUGUACAUACUGAACUGUAUUGACAUAUUGACACACGAUAUGGUGGGAUGUACAUACAAAUCGAUAUGUACCGCCCAUAUUGGUCCUCUGUCGGACUGGUAUGUACCGCCUGUAUCGGGUGGUUUGUUACGGUAUGACAAACCUUACAUAUACCAAAAAAGUAUAUUUUUCUUUAAAAAUUGGCAAUUGUUCAAAAGAAAACAGUUCUGAGAAAGUUUUUCAUGCCUUUGUGAUUUUCAAAUGAUUCUUUGUAGAAGGAAAGAUUACGUGGAUAACUGCCAGUACAAAUUUAAGGCUGGAUUAUUUAUAAUCUAGAUUACAUAUUAAAAUAUUGUUCAACAUUGAGUGAGGAUCUUGAUAGAAGACUUGUCAUCAAGAAGGUAAUACGUGGCAGGUCUUGGGUUGACAACGUGUGUAUGUAUACGUGUGCAUGCAUAUUUGUAUGCAUUUACAAUUAAGAAAACUGUGGUUCGUUGAUACCUGGACCAAAAAACUUAGGUUUUCUGGUUUCUUUGGCCUAGUAUGUAUCUAAGUUCUAGAGUUCUGGUUCUCUCUAUUUUUUCUUCUUUUCACUAAUAUGUUAUCUUUCUUUCUUAAGUUACCACUCAGUUACUUUACCUCACAAGUGUCAAUUUGUGAAUUUUUUUCUUAAUAGCAUACGAACUACUUGUCUCAUUAGAAAUAUCAGUCAUAUACCUGGUGGUGUGUAAAAUUUUAAACCGUCCUUACUUCUACCCAAAAUCCAUUGUGGGAAAUUGUUUGAUUUUGGGAAUUUGGAUUACCACCUGCUAUUUAAGAUUCUGCAGGUCUUAUCAUGUGGUCUAGUCAAGUUGGAAGGAAGCAAGUAUUAACUGGCAUGGUCAUUGUGCUACUUGAACAAGAAGGCAAACCAAAAGGAAAACAUGAAGAUGUGGAAAUAAGUAUAAAAUACUAACCUCAGUUCUGUCCAGCCUUACAUUAGUUAUCCAAUAUCCACAUUAAAUGAAUCAAGGCAUUUAGCAAUCAAGCAAUGAGAUGUUCUCUUCCCAGCCAUUUUUUCACUUAUCUAGAGCUAAUGUGAGGUGGCAAGGAGUGAUAGGGCCACCAGGUGAGAUAGAACAGCAAGAGGGAGGGACAAGAGUGCAGCUAUGAACCUUGUGAAUUUAAAAUUGUUAAAGCCAAGGUUUAUAAUACCGUUGGAGCAGUAUGGACCAUCCAACAACCUACUAGCAUGCAAACCAAGGUAAACUGGAUGGUAUGCCUGGUAUAAGGCUCAUAUCGCUAGGUAUGCUCCAGGGCCAUAUAUAUAUACAUACAUAUAUAUAUAAAAGGUUUUUCUGAAACUUGGCACAUAGCAAUAUACCAACACGUGUCGCUCAUAUGGCUCAGACCAUAUGUAUCGGUGUGUUGGUAUGGCUCAGAGCACCUCAAAGUUCAUUUUCUCAAAUCGUCUAUCAAAGUAUGUUUUCAUUAACAUACUGCAUAAUGCAACCAAUUAAGGGUCAUUCUGAUGAUGAUUCUUUGAGGUGAUUUAUGUGCAAUAAUUAUAAUGUAGGAAUGCUUAAAAUAUCUUGGACGGUCAUGCCUUCCAUGCAGGGAAGAGGCCAGGAUACUUCUUAUUAGGCUAUACAAUUAUAAUAACUUUUGGGGUUACUUUGAUAUGGAGAAAAAUAUUCGAGAUCAGGUGAGUAUAUCAGGUAUCAUCAUACCUUGAGAUUAAAAACAAUCUGAACCUUAACAAUUUGACUUAUGGACAACAUAACCUUUUGAGGCAUGGACAUUUCCAAGUCUCUGAAGAAUUACUUGAUGUGCAUACUAGUGGAAAUAUAAGACUGAAUUUUGAAUAUUAAUAAUGCUAUGUCAAAUGGAUUAAUGUUGGAUUUUUUACUGUCUCUUAGGAUAUUUGCUGUUUAAUGAUUUUAAAUCUGACCUUCAUCCAAUCAUGUGUAGAUCUUCUUUCAACACAUUUGCAACUUAAUUUCUUUCGACACAUUCAACAUUCAAAACAUGUUGAAUGUCUAUAUUAUUUCUGAGUUGCAUCAGAUACAUUAAUAUAAAAUUAUUAACAUCAUUAAAUGCUUAUUUUGAAUAUGGUAGGUCGACCAUUUCAGCUGCCUACGCUGGCUUCUUAGACCAAGAGUUGGGUAGUCUGUCCGCAGAUAAGUAUGCAGAUUUUGUAGUAUUACCAGUCGAUUCAUGGGAUCAAUUGGCAGGGGAUUUACCUACUACUGUAUUGGCAACUUAUGUAAAUGGCAAGCAAGCUUAUCCAUGAGAUUGUACCAAAUUUUUUUGCCUGAGUGAUGAAUCAAGGUGUCCUUGAGAUAAUAUAUAUAUAGAGUGCAAAGUUGAAGGUAGGGAUGAUAUGCUAUCAGCAAUAGUUGCUUUUAAUUUGUAAAGAAUCAUUAUGUAACUCAUGGUUGCAUCUGGAAGCAUACAAAGGUACGAAAGUAAAAACUACAUUUUGCCAAGUACAGAAUUUUAAUAGGUUCAAGCACCAAGAUUAAGCUUCUUUAGAGGUCAUCAUCGAUUUCUUUUUGUAAUUUUUAGCAGGUGCAAUCACAAUGCGAUCGAGCAGCUGAUGUUGGUAUGUUGUUCUAAACGAUUUUGAACUAACUGACCAGUGAACAAAGGGUCUUUUGUAGUUCCGCUAUGCUAAGCAUUCCUCACGGCUUCUAUCGAGGCGAGCAUAGACAUCCAGUUCCAGGGUUGUCAUCCACACCUAUCUGCAGGUACAACAUUUGAUUCUUGUGAUGUGCUUUUAAUCAUCUUCCUCUACUGUGAAUCAUCGAUAUGGCUCGAUGCUAUAAAAAAAACUUGCUGCUAGUGCAUAUCUCAUAGACUAGUGAUCUAAGUUUUAUGUAGUCUUAAUUGUUUCUUCUCAUGUACUAGUUGGAUUAAUUUUGUGUUUAUUAUGUAUAUCAUUUCCGUUUAGGACUCACUGACCUACUAACCUCUGAGAUCACUAAUACAUGCCAUCAAAACUGAUCCUUCCGUACACGGAUAGACUUGCUGAAGUAAAUUUUUUCUAACUUGGUUGAAGGAGUCCCCAAAAGGCAACCUUGGAGCAUAGUUUGGUUUGCAAGUUAGCAGGUAGAUUUGUAGAGUCGACUGAAUCAUUCUCAUGAUGAACUAAGAGAAGAGUUGGUACUCGUUCAGGAUAAAGUUUGAUGAACAGGACAAGAUUAUGGCCAAGCUUUGUCCAUUAGAAUAAGCAGCCAAAUAGUAGAAAGUGGUAAGUUCUUGCCCCAAUCAUUAUUGUGCUUGGAUAAGCCUGUGUUGCUUAGAUUCGAAGUUAACUUCGAUGGCUGGACGUCAAGAACACAGGGUGUUAUGUACAUGUCAUCUCAAACCUGUCGUGAUAAAUGCGAGCUCAGUUGGUCAACCAGCCAUACGCUUAAAUCAUUCCAAGGAAGAAGAGAUCAAAACAAACCCUCCUAAGCAUCAUUGAUGAUCCAAAGUUGUUUUUGAAUUUUGAUCUUUGACUUUUCAAAGUGACGUGAACCGACAUUAAUGGUCAGCUUUGGACGGCUGUUCAACUCGAGUCCUUCGAUGUGGGGAAGAGCAGAACAUUAAUGGCGCCCAUUGGCAUUACUUGCUUACUACUGUUCUUCCCGUCACCACCCCGUAUUGUGGAAGGACUAGUGCUCCUUUCGUUACCAGUUGUUGACCUUUUCAUUCAUUAGUACAUGCAUGCACGUUACUAGCCAUGCAUAGUUUUCACCCACUUGGCUGCAUCACAAGUGUAGUCAAAGGGAAAUUGCGCUAAUUAUAUAGGAAAUUAUGCUAAUAAUAUAAGAUUAAUGGACGAAGGCAAAAUGGUAGAAAGAGGUUUUUGGCGGCGCAUACACUUUCCUGUAUCAAAAGUCAGUACUGGAUUUUAUAUUCUAAUGUUGUUUGAAGUUAAUAAGUCAAAUUGACGUAUGCAUCAAUGUAUGUAUCAGUUCCUGUGCCAUAAUGCAUUCAACGAUAAAAUCUAUUCCAAGCAACUCACCGAGUACAAUGAAUCAUCUCAUGAAGCUGACCUGAGUGAUUUGACUAGGGCAAAUUUCGUUCCAAGUCAAGGAUGGAGAUAGAUUGUGUCACGGCCAUACCACCACAGCACAACACCAUUUGUGAUUUUGUACAUAUAAUGUAAUCUGUUUAAUGUAUGAUAACUAAAACGUGUACAUAACUCCUUUAUCCACUAAAUUGACACGAUAAUUUUACGCAACAUCUUAAGUACAUCCUCAAUUUAAUUCAUCUUUGUUAAAACGUAUAAUCUGUAGAAGCCUCUUCCUUUUUUUUUGUAAUCUUGGGACGAUGUCCUCAUUUUUAGGUUUUCUAUUUGAUACGUUUAUUUUUCUCUAAUAUCAUAAAUACAUGUUAGCAUUGAGAGGAAAUAGAUGAUCACAAUAAGAUGAAAGCGACGAAGUUGAAAUAAUGGGUGAAAGCGAUAAGGCCUUACGAUGGGAUAAAGAUGAUCACAGUGGGACGAAAGCGACAAUGGCGAAGGAUAUUUAGGACAUAAAAUGAGAAAAGUAAAAAUAAGAGAAUCAUACCGUAAAAGCAACAAAAUGUGAUUUUUUUAAAAAAAAAUUAUCCUUUUUAAAAUUUGUGAUCAUCUAAUCAUAUCUUAAAGAUAAUAUUAUAGUAAAUCAUGAAUUUGAGUCGAAAAAAAUCUUUCUUGCGUGGCCAAUUUAGCAAAUCAUGGAUCCCUAUCACCAUAUUACCAAACCGCAUAUAUUUCUUGUCUCAUUAGAUCCACCAUACCAACCGAAGUCAAGAAGGAAAAGUUAUGAACAUUAAUGCCUGUGAUGUACGUAUGCAAUCACGUAUUAAGAACAAAUACUGACAGCAUACACGAAAACACAAAGCUGAGGGCUUUCAUUGCUGAAAAUAUUACAUGUUUUGACAUAUCCGAAUUCAAAGUUGAUUCCUAAGUAUGAUCACAUUUGAAAGCCAAUUUGGAAGUCAGGAGUGCUUUUCUUAUACGUUGAAGAAUUGAUUUCCAGUCGACGAAGAAUUGAUUGGUAAGGAGGAGGAUUAGGUUGCCAUCAUUUCGAUAGUACUCACGACGCAGAGGGCCACAAUAGAAGGAAGAAAACCUAAACUUGGCUGGACCGACAUAUAAUAUAAUUCUUGUGAUUUAUAUUCUAGUGAAAAUGUCAUGCAAUAAUAAUAUGUUCUCUCCAUUGCAAAAUUCUAGUAAUUUAUAUAUUAUUAUACAAAGUCGAUAGGUUUCAUGUUCGAAAUUAUUUUUUUCAAAAAAAAAAAUUGUUUCUCUUAUCAGAUUCAGAUUGAACAUCAAGACAAACCUUGAGUCACAUUUAAUAGUAAAUAUAAUUAUGUAUACAAAUUUCAAAAAUAAUAACUACAAGAAAAUAUAUAAAAUAUAUAUUUUUUGCAAAAAAAAAAAACCAAAUGCAUAUAAAAUAUAUUAACUCAAAAUGAAAUAUCAACUAUUAAGUACAAAAAAAAGUUAGUUAGAUAUGCCCAAUUAUUAUCAAUUGAGCUAUGUUCUAAAUAGAAUAAUGGACUUGUAAUUUCUUUAAAAAUAUUAAAUUAAAACACAUAAAUUAAUGUAUUGCAAGUCUCUCGUGUGUGAAUCCAUUGGCCGGCUGCGAUUGAUCGAAUGUUUGCUGAGUUAUGCCAAGCAUGGUUAUCGUGUUUUUCAUGCUAUUAAGCAUGGUUAAUAAAACUCGAAUUGACUUGAUCUCGAUCGGUUUGAUUCACUAAUACGAUUACUUAGAGUGUUAAAAUAAUUAUAAAAAAAAAAUUCUUAAGAGAUAUUUAAAUUCUUUUAUUAUAAUUAAAAAAAUGAAUCGAUUAAUAAGAGAUAUUUAUCACUCUCUUAUGGACAAAUUAAGCAUAUUUUUGAAAUAUAUCAUAUGAAACUUUGAAUAUUCAAUCUUUAAUAAGUGAGUCUGGUGCACUUCUCAUCAUCAAAUCAAAAUCAAUAUUACGCGAAUCUAUAAUACAAAAUUGAUGUCGACAGUUGGAACAUGUUAAUUAAGCAUACAAAAUCGAUGUCGCCUAGCCAAAUCUAAUCUCCCUAUCAUUCGCUCGAUCCACAUCCAAGUCACUUGGAUACACCACCGAUCACACGUUUCAUCCUCAACCCACUUAAAAUACUUGGGAAAUCAAAUCACGGCCGACAUGUUACCAAAUCAAACUGGCUGAUAUCAUUGACAAUGGAGCCAUCUUCUUAGGUUCAUACCAAUCACAUUCAACAAUUCUAACCCUAUAUUUUUCUUUGCUUUAGGACGUGGCUCCCUCCAACCCACACUCUAUGUGUGCAUUUAUAAUUGCGGUUGACCGAGUCCAACUAAAUCAUGCAAUGAAUUCAAUGCAUUUUUAUGUAUUGAUUGGCUAGUUUAGAUGGUAAUAAUCAUCAUUUCAAGUUUUUAGGAUCAAAAUCCAUCUAAUAUAAUAUAAUAUAACGAUUUUGUUGGAUGAUAAACUAUUCCAAAGUGAGACUUUUAUGUAUAACACAAGUAGAGAUAGAAGAAGAUAGGUGGUGAUAUAUCCUCGUAGACAGUUGACUUUUUCCCAGCAACGUCAUGGCGUCUGACCACCGACCGGAUCAAAGACCUAAACCAUGGAAUAGUCCAAGUCAACCCGCCUCCCACCCCUUCCUAUAUAAUUACUCACCAGUGGCUCUUCCUCCGUUCUUCAGCCCUCUCAAAGUCAUAAUCUUUGGCUUCUUCUUCUUCUCCAUCUUAACCAUGGGCAAUGGGAUCUCUCCUUGCUUCAACCCCGCCUCCAAGGGCGGCCUCGUCAAGCUCAUCUUCUGGGGCGGCGCCACCGAGUUCUUGGCCGAGAAGCAGCUCGCCGGGCAGCUCAUGUUCCGGUUCCCGGACCGCAUCGUCUGCCACGCUGACUCGUUCUACAUCGGCCACCCCGUCCCCGUCCUCUCCAUCGACGACGAGCUCCUCCCUGGCCAGGCCUACUUCGUCCUUCCCAUCGACAAGUUCUCGUGCCACGAUCCCCUCACCGCUGUGUCGCUCGCCUCGCUGUCCUCCGGCCGCACCAAGCCGUCGCUGGCCGGCAACGGGGAAUCCCCCUUUGAGUACGUGAAGGGCGAAGACGGCCGGCUGCUGAUCAAGGUGCUCCCGGAGUUCAUAACCAAGGUCAUCACCUCUGUCGAAGACGGACAAAAGUGUGGCAGCGACGGGGGGACUCUGUGCACUACGCCGGAGUUGAGGAAGCACUACUCGCAGCUCGUCGGGCCGAGAGAUCACCCAUGGUCGCCGAAGCUGGAGACGAUAUCGGAGACCAAGAAAAGGAUAUCCGCAGGCAGGUUAUCGCCUGUUCGGCUAUUAGGGUUUGAGAGGAGAUCAUGUUAACUCCUCCUGUUUGUUCCACAUGCAUCUAAUGUUGCGUACGUCCGAAUGUCGCAGGUGAAAGCUAGCCGCUCUGAUUAGGGUUCUUAGAGCAAGGUGUAUAUAUUUAUGGACAUACAUAAUUUAUGGACGACUACCUCUCUUUUAUCUUUUAGCACACAAUUUGAUGGAGAACGAAGAAACUAAGCAGUCAGUCGAUUGUCCAUCAAAUCCUUACCUCUUUUUCGUAAAUAAUGACCAUAAGAUUGUUGAUGAGUAUGUUACAAUAGACUAUCUUCUUCUACAAUGUCCCUUGUGUAAAUUUCAUAGCUUCAAGAAUCAUUUUAUGUCUUCUAUAUUUUAUAUUUGUUUUUUGGGUUGAGACAGUAAGUAUAUUAAGAUUUGUAGAGUCAAUGUCUCAUUAAGACACAAAAUCCUAGGAAAAAAGAGUCGUGGGGUUUGAUUCUUUUAUGAAUAUAUUAUGUAUCUCUAUAUUUUGUUGAAAAAAAUAAAAUAUGAGAAUUACUUUAUAUGCUACUUAAAUUUUCUUUAAGGUGUUAAAAAUUUAAAGAGGGUGAGAGAAAAAAAUUUAAAUUCUUCGAGACUCAGGUAAAAAUUGUGUAAGGGGAUUUGUAAUAAAGAUUGAGUUUAGAUAGUCUUAUAAUUGAUUUUAUUCAAAUUAUCAAAAUAUUUUAAUUAGUUCAAGUUUUUCUCUCUCUUUCUUAGAUAGUUGGGAGAUUUAUUUAUUUUCGAUUAUUCCUUUAACUUCUAAAGUCCUUGAUUGAUUGGUGAAAGGAGACGAGAAAAGAGAAAUUAUGUCUAGUACUAAGGAGGCCUAUCCUACUUUGUGCUUUCCGCGUUUGCUUACUAAGUGUUUGUAUUUACAUUGUUACGAAGAAAGUUAUAUUAUAGGAAAAAAAAAAAGUAGACAGUCAUUUUUGUAAUCCAAUAGAUCUUAUUCCUUUAAAUGUUUAUAUAUUUUUGGGCAAAUGUCAAUGCCUCCUUUAAUGUUUGGAUACUAUAUUAUUAGCAAAAUGAUGAGAGGUACACUUAGCAAUUUUAGAUAGAUUGAAUUAGGAUGAAGUCUUGUGCAUCAAAAUCCAAUAUAUAUUUAUAUAUGUAAGUGGAUGAAUCGAGUUCGAUUAGAUCAAUUGAGAUGCAAGUAUUUUUUUGUGAAUAGAAGGACAAUUAUUUAAGAGACACAUGAAUUAAGAUUUCAUGGUCAUUAAUAUAGAGAGAGAUGGAUGAGACACUAAUCCAUGGGGAUUAGUGGUAGAAAGUGUGUGGCAUUUGCAAUAAUGAGUUAAGUAUCAUAUGCAUUUGUUUUCUAAUGAUUUGUCCUUUCCCGUGUUUCAUAGAUUUUCCUACACACAGAUUUACUAUAAAUCUUGUCUUGUCCUAUAUUUCAUGUGUUAUUGUUCCUCCCUCAGUCAACGUGAUCUAUGAUUCGGAUCUAAGGUAUGAAGUGCAUUAGGAUCUAAGGUAUGAAGUGCAUUAGAUCUUACAAAUCGAGUGCCAACAUUUAUUAAACCCCUUACGGCUUAUCAUCUUAUUCUAUAUAAUUGGGUCGCUUAAUUAUUAUGUUUUUCUUUUGUAUUUAUGUCAAAUGCAAAACGUAAAUAUGGCAUCAUCAACUUCUCCCUAAUGCCGAAGGAUUGGAACAAAAAUGCAUAUCAUAUAUCAUCUCUUAUUCAUAUUAUAUUGUUUAUCGGGAACAUCAAAACUAGAUUUAAUCCUAAGCGUCAAUAUCUUUCUAAGCUAAGCUAAGCUAACAAUGGCUUCUUUUAUCUUCUUCUUAUCUUUUAAAUCUAAUUAAUGUAUCCAUACUGCCUCUAAUUUCGUCUCCAAAUUGAUAAGGUUCUAUGAAAUUGGUCGUUGUAAUCUUUCCUUAAGUGUUUUAGGAUGCACAAACCUAAAAGUUAUAUUUGAGAACAUGUUUGCAUUUCUAAUGUUUAGUUGGAAAAAGAGAUUUGAAUGCUUUGAGUAUCUGAUAAAUAAUAGAUGAAAAUUGUAUUUUAAAUAUGUAUUAAUGUAUAUUUUAUUCAAUAAAAUUAUAUUUCAAAAGUUCAUUGAAUAUUUUUGAUAAGUUUACUCUUCUGAUGUUCUUAAUAUUUAUUCAAAAAUAAAUAUAUAUUUUUUAAUUAAAUUAAUAAAUAAAAAUAUAUAUAUAAUAAUAAAAAUGAAUGUAUGUAAUCUUAUAAAAAUUUUGUAUGGCCCAAAUAUAUAAUAAAUAAAAAUAUAUAAUCACAUAAAUAAAUAUAAAAUAAUCUUUAGAAAUAAAUAAAUAAAUAAAAUUUUAUCUUAAAAAUAUUUUAUCUUACUAAAUUAUUUUGGUAAUAUUAUAAUUUUAGAUUAAGUUACAAGGUAUUUUUGAAACUUAAAAAAUUACAUUAGUAUCCUGAAAAUGCAAAGAUUAGUACUAAUACUAUCCUAAAGUAGUAUAUGAGUAUUUCCAAUACAGUAUUAAGACCAGAUGUGAUUUGAAAAAGAAUUUCCAAACAUUAAUCUUCAUUUGAAGUAUGCAUUGGGUCCACAUUCGAAAUGUAUUCAUUCACAAAUGCACCCUAAAAUAUCAUUCAUAUGAUGUUUAUAUACAUAAUUUCACAUUUAUCAUAUAUCAAUUGAUCCGACUAUGAUUGGAUUUGAAUCGGAAUUAAACUUUUGAAUAAAAAAUUAAAAAUCAAAACAGAUGAUUUUGGUAGAGAAUCGAAAUGAUUGAUUCCCAAAUUGAAAUUGGGAAUUUCCAAACACUAAUCUACAUUUGAAAUAUGCAUUGGGUCUUCAAUGCACAAUCGAAAUGUAUUCAUUCCUAAACGUACCCUAAAAUAUCAUUCUUUAGAUUAUACAUAAUUUCACAUUUAUCAUAGAUCAAUUGAUCUGAUUAUAAUUUAAUUUGAAUCGGAAUUAAACUUUUGAAUCAAAAAAAUUAAAAAUUAAAAAUUAAAAUAGAUGGUUUUCCAAAUUGAAAUUGGAACAAUCAAAUAGAACCACAUGAAAUGGAUUUGAUUUCAAUUUCAAAUUUAGUAAAAAAAUAUUUUAAAAUUUUUCAAAAUUAUAUUAAAAAUAUUUUAAAAUUUUCAAUUAAAUUAACAUUCAUAUGAUGUUUAGAAUAUACAUAAUUUCAGAUACAUAAUAUAUCAAUAAAUUUGAUUUGAAUCGGAAUUAAAUUUUUGAAUCAAAAAAAUAAAAAAUAAAAAAUAAAAAUAGAUAGUGUCGGUUCAGAAUCGAAAUGGUUGAUUCCUAAAUUGAAAUCGGAACAAUCGGAUUCUGAACCAAAAAUAGAACCUCAUGCAUGAAAUGGAUUCCAUUUCAGUUUCAAAUUUAGUAAAAGGGAAGUCACUGGUAGGCAUAUCAUUAGGUAGGAUGGAUGGUGUAUCGAUCAAGCAUCUCCAUGCCUUUCUCUUCAAUUAGUAGUUCCACAAAUCUAUAUGGUUAAACCUCUCCACCCAACACCUGAACUUGAAGUGCAGCAGCUGGAAGGCACACUCACCAACUCGACUUACCAUACCUGCAGAUUUGUUGGAUGGCAGCCACCAACACCUAAUAAGUUUUGCAUGCAUAUAUAUCACCCAAACAGGAAGCACACACACCACAAGCAGCAGUAGCAGCAGCGAUGGCUUGUGCCUCAGGUGUUAGGGUAAACCCUAAUAACCAGCAGCAAAAAGAGGAAGAGAACCUUAUCGAUGAAGACGAAGAAGAAUUCAUCGAGCUCGACUUGGAGGUGCUGAACCGGAUUCCGACGCCGAGGUACUACGAGAGCUAUCAGGUAACCAGCGAUGCCCUCCUCGCCAACUGCCUCCUCCCCGUCAGGUACGUAUGCAACGCUAUUCCCAUUGACAGCAGCUUGCAUGGGCAGCACCCCUCGAUGAAGCCGCAGCAGUUCUACUACAAACUACCUCCCUUGGUGACGACGACAGGCACCAAGAGUAGCCCAAGGUAACUCCGUUGGACCAGAAACAAGGUGUCGAUCAUACGAUCGUGCUUGUUAGAUCGUGUAACCGGUGCAUGUCAACUAUGUCGACCCAUUGUCUUUCACUGGUGCAUCCAGAAUUCAUAGUUGAUCUGCGAACAGCAGCGAAGUAGCUUUUGACUUCAAUCUUUCCUUAUUUUCGCUAAUUCACCCCCUCUUAGUGUAUACAGUCAAAUAAGCUGAACGUUUCCGUGAGGACCUCCAUCAUCAGAAGAAUCACAUCCUCUCACUAUCAUUAAUCCAAUUCAUCAAAUAUAACAAUAUGGUAUGCUGUGGAUUUCCAAUACUUUUCCUCAUGCCCUUUCAAGACAUGAAAGCUACACAAAUACACCACCAGUUGUGGCUUUCAGGGAGCCGAUAGAUGAGCAUUUUGGAGGAUUUCAAAUCAAGUAUACAAUUUUUUCAGUAUAUUCAUUUUGUGGGGAUAUAUAACGAGGAUAAUUCAUUUUCGUGUUGGUGUGAUGCUUCAUUUUAUUGUACAUGUACCCUUCAAAAUAUAGAAAACUCACCUAUGCUCUCAAAAUGAAGAAGAUGGUCAGCAAAUGAUCAACUUCAGAGGUGCAUCUACGACAUUUCGAGGGGCAUCAUGAAUGCCUAUGACACUUCGUAACUUUAAAGUGUAUAUAUGAUAUUGCGGGAAAAGUCUCCUAUGUAGCUUUGUCUUAUUAUCUGCUAAGGCUUUUAGAGAAGAGACCGCUCUCUCUCUCUCUCUCUCUCUCUCUCUAGCAAUGAAAAAGCUGGGUAUAUAAUUUUCAGAAUUAUAUAACUAAAUAAAAUAAUAAACAAAUAAUUUCUAGGCAACUUUGCUCAUUAGGUCGAAGCGUAUUGAGAACCCUACAGGUGCGAAUCAGGGUGCCGAGCACGAGAACAUGAUGGUUUCCCCCUGUGACAAUGUAGUAGAAAAGCGGAAAGAGAGAGAGCAGUUUCCCGCACCAAAUGCUUCUUUUCAUCAUCUCCAUCUUUCUUCGUCAAAAGCGCGAGCAUUCAAAAGGGAAAGGCGAGCGACCAUAUUCCCAUACCAAGUGAGUGCACCUGCGUGCCCAAGUGCUCAUGAAUCCCUGCCUGCAGCGCCUCUGCACCACCUACUAAUCCUUGCGUUUCUUUGACUGACUUCGUUAUACGUACAAGAAAGAAAAUGAAGGAAGACGCAGAAACUUCCGAACCCUCUCGCGCUCACCCGCACCAUGCGUCUCUUCCUUUUCCAACUUCUUUGCCAAAGUUGGAGCGUCCGAGACCAGCAUAAAUGCAUGCAUUUAUCCCGCGCGUGCCGGCACACAGCAGAGCAAAUAUGUCAGAAACCAAGUAAAUAGCAACUACAUGUUUGAAGAGAUCGAUCACUGUGAUCCAUGGUCUGACCCAUUCCCACUUCCAUUGAAGCAUCAAAUGACGGUUGCUAUCUUUUUACUACGUUGGGGGAUGCAUUGGAAGCCGGAGUUCAGCUGUUCCCAAGAAAAAUAAAGAGAAAAAAGGAUCUCAUAGCUUGGGAUAGAGCUAUGGAGCAUCGAAACCCACCAUCUUUAGCACCCAUGCAUCAGUAACAGAACAAAAUUUCCCUCCACUUGCAGUAGCUUCUUAAGAAUGCAUUCUGGUCGGGUUCGAGUUAGUAACGAGGAGGAGGAUGAGCAUGAGGCGGAGGACGAGUCGAGGAAGGCUGCGCCCACAGAACCACGUCGGUGUGGGAGAGCUGACCAGGCAACGGACUGGUCUCGCCGAGGGCUACCAGCGCCUCCGUCUCCGGACUGACGUCCUCCUCCUUGACCCCCUCCUCGUCAUCCUCCGACAGCGGCAGCCGAUGGAACUCCGGCUUCGCGAACGUCGCAGCAACAAGCAACACCGGCCCCACAGCCGUCAUCGGCCCCGCCACCGUUCCCCCUAUGACUUGGCCAUGCGGGCCCGCCAAGGAGACGGUCAGGGGAGGCAGCCGUGCGGUCCAGGCGGCCACCGUCGGGGCGGGUGCCCCGGCGGAGGCGGGCGGCUGGGGAGGGAGCAAGGUGCCGGAGAGGGAGAGGAUGUCGAAGCGUCCGGGCACGGAUAUGGUAGAUGGGCCGUGUGCCGACAAGUGUCGGAGAGUAACGUCGGCAACGGUGCCACUGCCGCCGAGGACGGAGACACCUACGCGGCGUCGGCGGGCGAAGUCGGUGACGCCAGAUACGAUGUCGGAACCGCCAGCGAGCUCCAGGACCACCGGGUGCAUCGCCGACUCGCUCGCCUUGGUGAUGACCACCGGCGGCUUCGGCUUGUUCUUGGAGCCCGGAGGCCGCCCCCUGGGCUUCCGCGCUGCCGAUCCACCACCCGAAGAAGGCUCACCUCCGGCGCCAGAGGAGGAGCCUCCACCGCCGGCGCCCCCGCGGGAGGAUCUAGCUCCAGAGCUUCCGCCGCCGUCCUCGUCGUCGUCGGAAGCGGCCCCGUCACGGGGCUGCGAGAGGCCUAUCAUGGCGGUGCCAGGCGUCCGCACGAAGUCGGACAUGCCGCUGCCUUUAGUGAGCCGGACCGACACCGAAAGACGAAACCCGAAACGGCUCCUCAGUAGAAGGAACAGGCGAUGGGUGCGCCCUCCCGCCGCUUUCUUUUAUAGAGCGCCCAAAAAAGUCGGCAUCCCGAGGAGUUACGUUGGUCCUCGCAUUGUCGAAAAGCUAAACUGGACCUCUCCAUCCGCACCGUUCACUCGAUCGACUACGAAGCCCGAUGUAACCCCAAUCUGCGCUUGCUGCCAUCGAUAAGGAACCCACAGCCGUAGCUCACAGGUGCACUUGGUUGCACGAGAGGAAAGGUGGCGACGGUGAACGUCUCAUCCGGCCAGUGACGAAGCGGAGAAGUAGACGGGACCCACGGCAAAAGUUGGGGAGGAGGAAGAGGGGAGAGAGAGAGAGAGGGGAAUCCUAAACGCUAUAUCCAUGGUAGGGGCGGUAGCCUUUGCUCGUGUCGUCCCAUCGACGUGUUGCGUCAGUGGCACCAGUGAACCUCUUUACACGGUCAAAUUGCCGAACUUUUGAUAGAUUUAGAUCGACGUGCGCUGCUUCGAGAUUACCGCCCAGUGGGAGCAUCAAGUGAUGGGUGGUGCAGGAAGCUGAGGUUUCCACGCCCCCCUCCCCCCCAUUAACGUGUUUUUAAAACAUCCCAAAAGAACUCUGGAAAACAUUUUUGUUUUUCGACACACGAGUUUUGUAGCAAAAUAAAUAAAUAAAUAAAUUGAAUUUUUGGGAAGAAAAAAAAAUAAAUUAAAGUUUUGUAGCAAAGAUAUCACUGAAGAUAAACACAACAAAGAUAUCACUAUAAAACUAAGCCGAAAAAACUCUACCAUCACAAAUCUGAGUAAUUCGGAAUCGAUUCAUCGUGCCAAGAGUGCUCAGUAAGUAAUCUGUCAUCCAGAAAACAUCGGUCUUCGUACAUCCAUCCAUCACGAGAAGCUUCAAUCAAAUGCCCAUGCACUUUCAGCUCGAAUCCGUUGCAAUUCCUCGUCGGUGAAGUCACAUUCGAUAUCCAAAAACUCUCUGAUUUCCUCGACAGACAUGGCUUUGAACUUAUCGGCCAGUACUUUACAUGAGAAGUCGAACAACGAGGUCGCUUCGAUGUAGUUGGCAGCUCCAAGCACGUCGAUCAUCGUAUUCAUGUCCGUCUCUAUCAACUCCUUGAUUAUUUGCGUCACUUCUUCAGCAUCAUUCUUGGCAUUCACGUUCAACAACUCUAGCAACUUAGCGAGCACGGGAGCUGUGACGUUCAAGAGGGGGACUUGCAAGCCAUCGGCGCCGCCCAUGUCCGAGAUGAGGUUUCUGAUCAUCUCACUCUGGUUUGUGAUUUCUUCCACGUCUACCACAAAUUCGUCGCCAUUGGAAGCCAUGAGAACAAUAGUCUUCAUUUCGGGUUUCGAUUGUGACGACUCACCCACUAAAAUUUCUUUAGACUCAGUCGACAUGAUUGGUUUUUCCGAGAAUUCAGAAACCCUAAGCGAAGGAAAAAGAGUCAGAUGGCAUAAAAAUGAUUUGAUCAUUUCAUUUAUUUAUUAGAAAUAAGAGAGUUCUUAUUUCCUAAUCGAGAGACAUGCAAAGUAUCAUUUAUACUGUGAGAACAACCUAAAAGGCUGCACUGCACGAUCUACUUCUUUAUCCAACACACCGAUCGAGCAUGACGUGAAAUAGCUAUACAAGUCUUAGCAAAGGAUUCAAAGCCAACCUCAUCUAGAAGAAGAAGAAGAAGAGGAAAAAAAUACAAUUUUAAGUUAUAGUACCAAAAUCAAAUCGAAAAGACUUGUGUCAUCGGAUCACUAAAAACAUUUUUACUAUUGAAAAGACUUGUAUUACAUAUUUAAUUUAAAAUAUUUUAAAAUAUAAAAUAAUUCAAAAUUAUAUGUAUUAAAAAUAUAAAGUAUUAAAAUUGAUUAAAAAUAAUAAUCUUAGACAAGUGAUAAAAAUAAUAUCCUCGAUCAAUGUUUUAAACAUAAACUUCUAUCCAAAUUAAAUAAAUCUAAUAAUAUCUAAGAAUUAACUAUGUUAAUAUAACCCAAAAUAAAUUAUUUUAAUAAUAUAAAAUAAAUAAUCUAUUCAAUAUAGUCGUCGCGACUUAAGUAACAUACUCAUAUUAAUUUUUCAUAUCUCAAAAUGGAUAUUGUUUUAGUUGUCCAAUAUCAGUUCUACGGCAAUAAACUUAUAUUGCACAUGAUAUUUUAAAAUUUUAAACUCAUUUUUCAUUUAUUUCAACUUUUGAUUCAUUCUUCUAUAGUCAUUUUAGUGAUCAAAGAGAAAAGAGGUAAAGAGAAGAUAUGUAGAGGAUAGGUGAAGAGAGAGAGAGAGAGAGAGAGAGAGAGAGAGAGGGAAAUGAGAAGGCAAGAACAACUAAAAAAUAGAGAUGAUUUUUGUAAAACAUGUCACCUUCUUCUCAAGUUAACCCUAGUUUCAAAAUUGACAUAAAGACUUUUGCUUGAGUGAUUUAAGCUAAGAAUAUUCAAGUAAUUUUUGAUAAGAGAAAAUCUCGCUGUUUUGUUGAGGAAAAAUCUUUAUCCUAAUAUGUAUAAAUAAGAAUAUAACUUUUUUAUAAUUUCUAUCUUUUUAUCUAUUAUUUCAUUUCUUACAAUUUUAACUAUAUUAACAAAACCAGAUUGGGUUUAUUUAACCAGACCGGUUUAUACUUAGUUAUUCAAAAUAUAAUCGGAACAAUCAAUUCAUUCUGAAUUUUUUAACAUAAUUGAUCUAAUAUGUGAAUCAAACUUGUCAAUGGUCUGAUUACUGUUUUUUCCAGCUCGAUCGUUCGAUUUAGUUUGAUUAUGAUACCUAUGAGUAGAACUCCUACAAACAAAGACCAAAGAAAAACUCCAUGUUAUCUCAUCCAACUCUUCAAAAACCUCAUACGAAAAUAAAGAGAAGCAAUAACAUAAGUUUUCUUUUUUUUUACCUAUUAUCUCUCUUUUUGUGAUGUCCAGCCAAACUUCUUGCCACCUGAGAGAGUAGCGUGAGGAAUGAUGGGUAUUUAUACAACAAAUGAACCACAUUUGGCAUCUAAAACCUUUCCCAACUAAUUAUGAUUCCUAAUUCCAAAUUCCAAAUCUACCAUCUAAUUAUUACCUACUCUUAGUCCAUUUUAAUGAGUGCCAAACUAAAAUUUAAUUACCAUAAGCUAAUUUAAUAGGAUAAAUUUUUAUUACAUUAAAUAACGUAAAAGACGCUCACAUGUAGACUCAAACCUUAUAUUUAUCACUUAUAUAAUAAUGUACUAACUAUUCGAAUGUCUCAACAAAGAUAUAUAAUCAUAUAUUUAUCACUUAUGGCGGAUUGGAAAAAAUAAUAAUAUUUUUCUUUCCCUUUUGUCUAAAUUUUAGUUUCCUCUGUCUUAAUUGGUAUAUACCCAUUUGAUAUUCGCAUUUUCAAGUUUUUCAUGUCAUAUACCAUGUAUUUUUAAUAACAAAGUUGAAUUUAUUAUCAACUUUUAUUUAGGUUUAUACCUAUAAGGAAGACAACAUUCAUUUUGCAAACCUUUAACUUUUAUCUUUCAAAAUUUGAGUUACCUUUCUUUUUCAAAUAUGAAAUGGUUUUUUUGGAUGAUCAUGUCUAUCACAAAAGUUGAUAAAAACAAUAAUAAAUAUGAUGAUCAUGUCUAUAACAAAAGUUGUAUUUAUUCUUAAAUUGAAAGUAUGAUUUUGGGACAUAUGAGAUUGGUCCUUGGGCAAAUUUAGUCCAUGUCAUAUUCAAUAUUAUUUGAAUAGAAAUCAAUCUCUUUGCUUCUAAAAGGUUGAGACAUGUUUUCUUAAGGUAAUAUUGAGAGAGAGUCUGACCUUAAAUUUAAAUAGAGCUUGUUUUGAGAUUUUUUUUUUCAAGUGAUCUAAUUAAUUUAUUAUUUUUAGUGGAAUAUAGGCAACUUUACCUUUUCUUUCAUGUAAGCCCAUGUUUGUGUUUUCAAAAGCAUUUAAUUGAAGGGAUAUUUUGAAAAUAUUAUCUUUUAGUUUUUAGUUUUCUUCCCUCACUAAAUCAACAUUUAAACAUAUGGUACAUAAAGAUAGUUUCACAUGCUCAUUUUUAAGCUUUUAUAUACUUGACUUGAUUUAUUGUAGUCAUACAACAAUUCAACAUAUGCAUAAUGUAACUCAUUAUAAGAUAUCAAAACGAGGCAAAUUACAUCCAUCGCUUCCUUGUGCCAUUAGAACAUAAUUUGUUGGUUGUUUCUAUAUCUCUUCAUAGGCAUAUAUGAUCUUCUCACCAUAAGUCACAAGUAGUAGCAAUAAGGUUAAAUCAUUGACCUCGUGUGUGGAUGUGAUCCUUAGAUUCCAAGCUUCUAAGGAUCUAAGGGUCUUACAAGCCAUAUCAUAAAUAGAAAUAGAUUUAUCAAGAGUUUUUAAUUGAGAAUUGGAUUAAUAUAUCACCAAUAUAUUUCAUUGUUUUAUCAUUAAAAAAACUUAAAAGUAUGCCAAAUAUUAAAAAUGGAUUUAUAUGAAAAUUCAAUCAUACUCAUUUUGACCUAAAGUAUAAUACAAAUCAGAUUAUAAUUAGAAAUAGAUUUAUCGAGAGUUUUUAAUUCAUUGUUAAUAUUUGAGAAUUGAUAAAUACAUCACCAAUAUAUUUCAUUGGUUUAUCAUAAAAAAGCUUAAAAUUAUACUUAAAUAAACUUACGCCUUUAUGGUAAUCUUAAAAGUAUGCCAAAUAUUAAAAAUAUAUUCAAAUAUUAAAAAUGGACAUAUAUGAAAAUUCAAUCAAACUCAUUUUGAUCUGUGUUACACAACAUCAUUGUGUUCAAAGACUAGCAAAGGGCCAAUCAAUCUCGUCUGCCCAUGCAUGAUGUGCCAAACCACCGAUUUAGUUGAGAUCCUCAUGACUACAACAACCAUCUCUUCUCUUUGUUGAAUGCCUGUUAAUUUUGCCUUGGUUUCUUGAGUCAUGUCAAUGUUGCAUUAUGCUCUAUAUGUUCUUGUUUCUUGAAUCGCACUGUAGGCCUUUCUCAUCCAAGGAGAAGGUCAGCGGUGGUUGGACAUGCUUUGCUGAUUCAUUUCGUAAUCUACUCGGAACAACUGCCAUCGGAUUUGCUUAGAUCGACUAACUUCGAUCAAAUCUGACAUGCAACUCGUAGUUAGUCAUUGUAACCACCAAUCUUUAUUUGUGUCGCUACGACGCUACGCAUGUGAGUGAUUAAAGUCAGUAUGCCUUAAUACUCUCGCAAGUCUCAAGCUUCUAUUGUAUCCUAUAUGAGUGGUUCAAAUCAACACGUACCGAAGCCCUCAUGUUUUUAUGUAUCCAACAGCCUAUAUAAAAAUGGUUUAAGUUAGUACAUCCCAAAAACUUCAUGUAAUCAAGUUGCAUUUAAGUUAAUAUACCCCAUACCCCCGUAUAUAUCAUUCAUAUGAUAUCUAUUAUGUGAGCAGUUCAAGUUGACAUUUCUUAAUAUCGUCAUCUCAUGUGCCUAAUAAUCCUUACAUUUAUGUUCUUGAGCAUCUACACAUCUCAGUUGCCUUACAUGGGUAAAACAUGCUAACAUUACUUCAUCAUAUUUUAUGCUGAUAAUAUCUAUUAAGUUCUUGAGUCAAAUAUUAUACUAUAAUAUAGGCAAGCCGAGCAAAUGAUAUGACUAUAUUUGACGAGCAAUGAGAAACUUAUUUAGGCUCAUGACACCCAAUUGGUUAUUGGAGCCCACUUAAUGACUAGAUCAUGUUGCGUCAUCUAAGCUCACAUAAAUUAGUUAGAUGAAAAGGUGGCACCAUAAACAUAUCUAAUCAAAAUUAUAUAUAAAAAUUAAUAUUCCUUUAGAAACUUUGGCUGAGAAUAUUAAGGGAAGUGAUAUGACAUAUUUUGGUAUUACUCACGUGAACCCAGACAAACAAACACGACGAUGCAAAUGUGAAACUUCAAAUCCGAUGUGACGUGUAGCACACAUGUGGUGGGCAACCGCUUGUCGCCUCCUCCAUACAAACAACAUCAUCACGGUACAAUUGUCUCGGAAAGCUCGGAGCGACGCCACGCGAUGUCGAUCCGUGCAGGUCGAUCGACACUCGCAUAAAAGCUUAAGCCGGUCGUAGUUAAUUGACCCUGUACGACCAACUCAUCCUCGUAGUUAAUUGACCCGACCCGACAUCGAUGUGACUCGAGCAUCCGCGUGGGCAAUCUUGUGCAUCCAGGACUAGAUCAAGCCAUGUUGACACCUCGAUCACGACGUAAAGGUUGACACCUCGAUCAAGCAAAAUUGUGUCAACAGGAGCCAUGUUGACACAAUUUUACAUAAUCAUUUAGCUCAAGAAAGAAAUACCAUAAAAGAGAAAACAUAAGGUGGCGACUAGCUUAAACAAAUCUAAGGCAUCAUCUAGUUUGCUGACAUGACACAUUUUUGGAGAACAAGCUAGUUUGACUUCUCUAUAUGGUUGUUGACGAUCAUUUUUAUAUUAAAAUUAUUAUCUUAUAUUUUGAUGAUAAAAUUAAUUGAUAAAUUUAAUAAACUAUUCUUAUGUCAAGAUAAAUGAUACAUGAGAUACUUAACUAAGAGUGCGGACAGGAUAUAUGAGGAUCAAUUGUCAAGUUGAGAAUUGAUAUCAAGCUAGGGGAUCGAACAUCAAACAAGAAAAUAAAUGUUGAUCCAAUGGAUCAAACAUAAUGUUAAAGGAUUGAAGUCAUAUAAUCAACUAGCAUGCUAUAGGAUUGAUUGACAUAGGAUUGAUUAAUGUAUCAAAGGAUUAAUCGGAGCCUUGGUAAAGUAAUUAGGCUAUGAAUAAGUUGCUAUUGGACUAAAAAUAGGCUUUCACUAAAAAUGAGUAAUGGUAAUGAUGAUAGAUAAUUACGGUGGUGCCAUAUUCCAUGUUUUAGAUACUUUUACUUUAGGUUUAUUCAAAGCCUUCAAAAGAGAAAGGCAUUAAGGUUACUUGAUUUUAAUCCAAAGAGUAUGAGCGAGAUAACGAAAGUCGAUGAUAUUUAGAAAUAUGGAAUCACUAAAGACUUUUGUUUCUUCCAUUAUGUUAUUUCUUAUUUAGACACUUUCUCAUUAAUUUUACAAAUUAUAAAAAAAUUAAGCAUAUUUGUACUAAUUUAUCCCCAAUUCUAAUAAUGAGAGCAAUAUUCUCUCAUCUAGUUUAACAAUUAAAGAAAAUAAUGAUAUUCUUUAGUAAAGAAGAGGAUCACUAUAUUAUGCAUCCUUCCAUAUUCAAUAAGAUGGAAUACAUAUUGAAAUACUCAAAUGACCUAUUUUUUACUUUAUAUUUAUUUUGAUAUUUGAAACAUUAUCAAAUUUGAUUUUCAAAGUCAACGAAACUAAUGCAUAAAUAUAAUGAUUUUAAACAAAUAAAUAUUUUUCAUUGAAUGCUAAGACUAUGCAUGACUUAUUUGUUUAUUAAAAAAGUUCAAUCAAAUUUUCACUUAUAAGAAAUCUUAAAUUAAUAUAUUAGUAAAUAAUUAUAAAUUAUUAUUAUAAUUGAACCAACUGAUUUACAAAUAUUAUGAAUGGGUUAAAAAUAACUUGAUAAAAAUUACUGUAAUAUUAAAUCUUUAAGCAAAGUUCUUAAGCAAAAUUGACCAUAGAAGAAGAAUAGAACCAAAACAUAAUUCUACACAAAGGACUCAUGCAAUCAUUUAAUUUAUGAUAUGAGAUACAAAGGCACACAGAAAGUAAAAAAAUAAAGUUGCCAUCUCAAGAAAGGGAUUAUACAAGUGAAAUCAAAGGCAUAAGGUAAAAAAAUAAUUGAUAAAUAAAUAAAUAAAUAUAUUUUUAUGUUAAAAAAAAGUAACUUCAAAACUAACUCAGAGGAUGAGAGUUUGAAAUCUCAUUCCACUUCUUUUUUUUUAUAAAGGUAUUAAUUAAUCUAACUAAUAAAGAUCUUAAUAGUUUAUCAUAAGAUUCUCCAUUACAUUUUUAUAUAAAAAAAUUUUACUUAAUAUUUUUUAAUAAUCUAAAAAGAUAAAUAUAAAUUAUGAUUCAUUUACUUUAAAAUAAUUUUGAUAUUUAAAACAUUGAAUAUGUAAUCCCUAAAUAUAUCAUUAUUUACCUAAAAUCAAUUUAACUCAUCAUAUAGAAAGCCGUCAAAACUCUUUGUGAACAAAAAUCAAUUAGUGGAUGGAGAGGGAUGCAACUAUUGACUUUUUAGUCUUACGGGGAGGAAGUGGGAGAAGAAUAAGAAAGCGGCGUAUGCGGCACGGAGUCAUCGGUGCCGGUUUCGGAAUCAUCAAUACGCUGCAACUGGCUCCCCCGCCGGCUCUCCAGAACCGUCAGCAGAGCCUCCGCCUUGCUCUUUCCCCUCGCGCUCACCCCACUGUCGCCGCCGGCCAGAGCCCUCACGGCCGCCUCCGCCCCGUCCACCUCCCUGACGUCCCCCACCGCCUUGUCCCCGCCGCUCUUUACCAGGUUCAGCAGCGCAGCCGCAGCGUUUUCCCUCGCCCUCCCGCUCCCCCCAACCACCAGAUCCACCAAGACGCUGACGCCGUCCACCCUCCGGAACGCCUCCACGCUCUCGUCGCAUCCUGCCACCUGGGCGAUCACCGCCGACGCGUCCUCCACCAACCCCCUCCGCCCGUCCUUCACCACCAGCGCGAAGAGGGGCGGCACGGCGCCCAGCUCGACGAGGGCGGUGCGGUUGAGCGGGUAGAGGGCCAGGCCGAAGAGGGCCUUGAGCGCGUCCUUGAUGGACCUAGUCGGCGCGCCGGGAGCGCCGAGGAGGUCCACGAGGGCGGCGAUGAGGGGCUUCUUUGACCCGAUGACGGAACGGUACGCUUCGACGGAGAGGAGGCUGUAGACGGUUGCGGCGGCGUGCUGGGCGGCGGCGGGGGAGAGGAGGCGGAGGGCUGCGGCGAGGGCGUCGAGGAUGCCCGGGGUACACAUGAGCGCCUCGCGGGCGGAGAUGGAGAGGUUGAGGAGGGCAGCGGCCGCGUUCUCCUGGGCCUCGGCCGCAGACGAGUGAUGGUGGUGGUGGUUGAGGAGGCGGGCGGCAAGGAGGGGCACGGCGCCGGCGUCGGCGAGGGGGGCGCGCAUCUCCGGGUCCUGCUUCGACAGGCGGCGGAUCUCCGCGAUGGCUUCGGCAGCGGACUUCGAUUCCGCGGCGACGGAGCUCAGGCGCUGCACCAAAGUUCGGGCCUUCUGCUGCUUCUCCUCCAUCAAUCGCCCUCCCUAACCCAAUUGCUCCUUUCUUUAUUAUGGACAUGGCACGGAUGAAGGUGUUUUAGUGGGAGGCGUGUCCACUACAGUAAUGGAUAGUGUUGACUUCGCAAUCGUUGAAGCUUUCGCGGAGUUAAUGGUGGUAUACCUUUUUGACCAGUGUUGUUGGGAUGAACGAUGCAGUCCUAUGGACUUUUCUGACAUAUUUAGUUGUUAUUUUAUAUGUUUUGGGGCACAUAAAAGCCAAAAACAAAUUGGAAGCAGAGCUAUGUGUUAGAUUCUGUGCGUGCCAGCCUAGGAAAUUAUAAUUAAGUAUUAAUCAUAUUUCUUUUAUUUUAAUGGGGUGAAUUUUGGAUCGAUAUUUUUAAUUUAUUAGCCAUAGCUUUUGCUUGGUGACUCAGAAUUUAUCUUUCUCAUAUGCACUCACUCUAUUUAUUGUUUCGGAAGGUGUCUAAUGCAAAUACUAGAGAAAUCCUCGGUCUAUCUCGUUCUCUUUGCAUCAAAAUCUUUGUCACGACUCAUGAGAUUAUGUUCUAUUUUUUUAAUAAAAUUAUGUGGUAUUAAUUUUUAUUUAUUUUUUUGAAAAGAUAAAUAUAAAAUUUAAUCUUAGGUUCUUAUGAGCUAUAAUAGAAAUAUAAUGACGUAAUGGACACCUUAGUACCAUAUAUGUAAUACUUCAAUGUUAUAUAAUUGUUACUUCAGUGUCAUGUGCUAGAUACCUCAGCACUAUAUGUUCAACACCGCGAUGUCACAUUAUCAUAAACAAAUUUGUACAAAGAGUAUUCGAUAUAAUGUUUAUGUAUGUUAGUAUCUUUCGAUUUUAUAUACUUUGCACAGAAUGUAAAGAGUUGACAAUAGGUUUCACUGUUCCAUUUUGAUUAAAUUUUAUAGUUAUUUUAGUCCUAUAAACGCAAGUUGUGUGAAGUGACAAAGGCACAACUGCUCAAAAAUAAGUUAUUCAAAUAGUUAUUUUAGGAGUUUUCUUACUUCGUAGAACGAUACAAAAUGUCAAUCAGUAAAACACUAUAUAGUUACCCAUGUAGCACACGGUUGGAUAAGCCUUUGGAGUAUUUAUCUAGCAUUGAUUCACUAUCUUAUUUUGUAGUAGUAUUAUAUGGGUACUUAUGGGGACUUUUGGCUGCAAUGGAUCACCUUGAAUCCUUUAUCACAUAAUCGUUUAGAGCUUGCGAAAUCUAUGUUUAUAAUUUACAUUUCCUAUCAAGUGUAUGCUGAAAUGUCUACUUAUGAGAUCUCGAGUAAAAUAUUUUCUUUGACUCGUUUUCUCUUUUGCAAGUUCUUACGGGACCAUAAGAGGUUUCGGGGAGACUAACUCUUUGCAGAUAGACACACAAGGGUAUCACCCAACUUAGAAAAAAUCAAAUAAGUUCAUGACACAUGGUAUUAGAGUAAGACAAGCAUACUUAGAAAUAGUUGAUAUGGAAAUGUGAGGGACCUAGCGAGGCUACGAUGAGGGUAGCCAAUAUAUAUGACUGUUUGAGGGAAACAAGCGUAGUGACGUAGGAAAAUGAGUCACUUAAAUGAGUGAAAAUCCGAGAUUGACAUUUAGAGAAAUAGCCAACCAUUCACAUGAGAGGCAUUACAAGGACACGCACGCUGGGAAGAACGCGUAGUGUAUAAAGGUUGGAAUAGUUGAGUUUGAGCUAUGACUCAAUGUUGGAAACCAAACUUGAUAGUGCUUAAGAUAAGAAUAGCACUUGACAAAGGAUAAGAUUGUAUAAAGAGGGAUAAGUUGCUCGGUGAUUGAAAGAGUUAUGCAAACCUCACAAAGGUGAGGAAGAUUGCUAACUCGAAAAAUUUGAUACUAAUGUAAGGACUUAUAUAUGAACGAUAGAUUGUUUAUGGUCAUCCCAAGGUAAUUGAAACUCGAUGAUAUGGAGCAUAAAAAAAUUUUCUUCAGCAUAAGAAGGAUAUGUCCAUAGGAGGCUGAAGUGUACAAUAUGUGUAACAUGUUACUAGGUCUUGAGGGGCACAGUGAGAGUUAUACUAACGAAAGAGUCACAAUCUAGCAAGUGUGUUCAUGGUAACGAAAUAGUGCACAGUUUUUUCAACAAAGGUGGAGUAGUCCAAGGGGAUAGUGGUGCUAGUCAUAGGUGCCCAACAAGCCAAUCACGUGAGUGAUGGCACGUGUGACUUGAUACAGAAUCUUUUUGAUUAUUAUAUUUUGGCGUAUAUCACUUUAUAACUAUUGCAUAAAUGCAUAUAUAUUGUGAUGUCCUUGGAUUUGUGCAAUGAGAAUCGGAUCGUGAUGAGAUCACAAUAAUGAGAUCGAUUCACCUUUAAACACAUAUCCUAAAUAAUCCCGGUCAUAGGUUACUCGAGAGGGACAUCGUGAUAACCGGAUAGACUGGUGUGCUGUAUACCCGUCCAUAUGAUGGAUGCAGCUGGUCUCAUAACUGCUCGUGUAGGGACACUAGGGAUACAGUACAGGUGCUCAUUGGAGAAUGAGUUCACUGANNNNNNNNNNNNNNNNNNNNNNNNNNNNNNNNNNNNNNNNNNNNNNNNNNNNNNNNNNNNNNNNNNNNNNNNNNNNNNNNNNNNNNNNNNNNNNNNNNNNNNNNNNNNNNNNNNNNNNNNNNNNNNNNNNNNNNNNNNNNNNNNNNNNNNNNNNNNNNNNNNNNNNNNNNNNNNNNNNNNNNNNNNNNNNNNNNNNNNNNNNNNNNNNNNNNNNNNNNNNNNNNNNNNNNNNNNNNNNNNNNNNNNNNNNNNNNNNNNNNNNNNNNNNNNNNNNNNNNNNNNNNNNNNNNNNNNNNNNNNNNNNNNNNNNNNNNNNNNNNNNNNNNNNNNNNNNNNNNNNNNNNNNNNNNNNNNNNNNNNNNNNNNNNNNNNNNNNNNNNNNNNNNNNNNNNNNNNNNNNNUUGAUCCGCUUACGGAAUGCUGGAUGGUUGAUGAUGCCUUAUUGUCAGACAGCGAUUUCGUAGUCCUAGUGGUGUAUCUGGUCCUUAGACUUGAGACACCAAGGAUGUCCUGUAUGAGUGCUCCACUCUUUGAUACCAGACUUAUAGGUUUGGCUGUUCCCAGAUCUAGUACAGCUGGUCAUUGGGAGUGGUAGUCGACCUUACGAGGGCUAUUGAGUGUCAAUAGAGGAUCAUCCACUCUCGGCGUCAUGAGAGGAAUAUCUUAUGUGUUCUUGCUCAGACAAAUCCCUGACCAGGGUCAUUCGGGUUGAGAGAGAAAGAGUUCUCCGGGAGAAUCCGAUUAGAGCGAGACUCGAGUAGAAACUGUAUGGGUCUGACAGCACCAUGCUCGAUAUACGGUCUCUGGGAUAUUAGAUGGAUGAGGGACUAUAGGUACAUGGUAACUGAGGACAGACAGGUCCAAUGGAUUGGAUUCCCCUGUAUCGUCUGGGGACUACGGCGUAGUGGCCUAGUACGUCCGUAGUCGAUGAGUCGAGUGAAUUAUUACAGAGAUAAUAAUUCACUGAGUUAGAAGGAGUUCUAACAGGUAUGACUCACGGUCAGCUCGAUAUUGGGCCUAGAGGGUCACACACAUAUGGUAGGCAUUGCGAUGAGUAGAGGUUCGGAUAUGAGAUAUCCGACGGAG
rnacentral:lncRNA from 1 species